UGAAUUCUUCCACCAACUAGCUGUGAGACAUAUCCAUUGCAGUGCCAAAUAAAGAAAGUUUUCCGAGAAUUAACAGCAGGACAAUGGUCCGCUUGUUGUAUAUAAUAAAUAUCACACUGGUGUUGUAUAUGUGUAGCCGGUGCUAGAAUUUACAUAUGCAUGCUCCACAACCUAUGUUCGUACAAACACAGAUCAUACCGAACGAAAAAUAUGCUCUGGUCGGAAAGCAGAGUCCUGGACAAAAGUGAAGUUCACAAAAGACAAUCAUACAUAGGCCAUUGCUUCAACUCGUAGUUUAGGCCUUGCCAGACUCCUCGCAACCCGGUGGCCUGAAUGCGAUGAAGCUGACGCACUGCACCUGGCGCAGGUUGUCGAAGCCGAUGACGCGGACAUAGGCGUCAGGGUACUCCUUCUUGACCUCCUCCACCUCGUUGAGCACCUGCGUGGCGUCGGUGCACCCGAACAUAGGCAGCUUCCACAUUGUCCAGUAUCGGCCGUCGUAGUACCCGGGGGAGCUGUUGUGCUCACGAAAGACGAAGCCAACCUUGCUGAACUCGAGGCAGGGCACCCACUUGGAGCGGAUCAGGUAGUCGACCUGCUUCAGGAGGGCCUCCGUGGAGAGGGGUGGCAAGUAAGACAGGGUCUCGAACUUCUUGAUGCCCUCAAUCGGCCACACCUGAGUGAAUGGAAAUUAUGGAAUGCACACAACUGCUUAACACUUCGUGCUAGUAAAUUGUACGUACUGAGGAAGAAACUCAUAUCAGUUUUGUGCCUCGACAUACCUGCAUGCACCUGAUCCUUCCGCCAUUGCUGACGCUGCCGAGGCUGCCGCUGGAGCGGCGGCUGACGGGCAGACCGGCCGUGGACUUGAGCCCCUGGAAGGGUGCGACGGUGGUAGCCGACGAAGCCAUCACGGCGGGGGCCAUGGUAUUGUAUUAUCGGCGGAGAGGAGGAUGCUGGCUACACUUGAGGCCCCAUUGCCGGGUCACUACCGUAUAUAUAGCCAGACACUUAGCGCCGUUUCUUUGGUACAGAUGUGGCUGGGGUGGCUGACGUUCUCUGGUUGCCUCGUUUCCUUAUCUUCUCCGGAUCAGUGGAAGAAGCAUGGCCGUCGGAUGCAUUGUGUGUGCUGGAAAUUUCAGUCCUUCAUGUCAUUGGGUGGCUGCCACACAACCUUUUUCCAGCUUUUCUUGUUUUUGGUUUCAUUUAAAGCCAAAAGUUUCUCGAGUACAAAUUUUCUGAGAUGCGACUUGAGUGGCGCGGGCAAAAUAUUUUACAUUUUAUCAUAAAAUCUGAUGGCUCAUUCCCUCGAAAGUAUGCCCAUAGACAUAGAGUGUGCGUGUGUGCAUUUAUAGGGGUUAUUGUACAGGCGUGUAUGCAAACGUCUACUAUUGUACACCGUUUCUCGAAAUAAAAUAUAUGUUUUGUUGGUACAAUUAAUUGAACUAGCAUAGUAACCGUCCACACAUAGAACAAGUUCUUUCCCUCUUGCAAGGCAACUAUUGAAAGCUCUCCACCUCUCUAUCUGCCAGUGAGCCUAUGGAUCCGCCUUCCCUCUGCGGGAAGGGCAUUCUUGGUGGCUCAGCUCUGGCUAGUAGAUAAGUAGGGUUUUAGUCCUCAUAGGUGAGGCGCUUGGACGGAUGGCGGCCCUUCUUCUUUGAGCCAAUCUUUCGGGAUCCGAUCCUCUUCAAGUUCCUCUGUCUGGGGAGUUCCGACAUAGAUUCCUGCCAGCUCCUCAAGCGGCGAGGUUAGGAAUUCUCGUCAUGCAUACGCACAUUGAGAUUUGGUGUCAGAUUCUUUAGACCGAUUCAGGGAUUCAACGGCGACGACUGCGGCUCCAGAGCACUGGUUCUUAUGGGCACGUGCAUGAAGACUUCCUGACUGUCAUCGACAAGGUUAGGAUAGCUCCAGAGUGGGAGCAACGACAACGGUGUGUUAGUGGCUCGUCUCUGUGAGUAGGAAGGAAAAAAAGCCCUAUAUCUCGACAUUUUGACAACUAUGUGACAAUGGGAUUGAGCUACUCCAUACCUUCUUUUAAACACUAGUGGGUAGGAAUGAAAAGCUCUAUAUCUCAACUAUUAACACGUAUGGCUAAAUCUGUACCUUGAAUUAUAGGAUAUGCCAAUUGAUCAAUGGUGGGCGGUCUCCCACAUAACAUUGUCUCUCAAAUAGAGCUGCAAAUGAGUCGAGUUCGAGCAAGUUGGACUUGGCUCAGCUCAACUCAUAUUAAAAUUCGAGCGAGCUCAAACUGAGUGAAGCUUAAGGUCAAGCUGUAGAAUAUGACUCAUGCUUAGCUUGUAAUGAUCUCGAGUCGAUCUCGAGCUAGUUUCGAGUUAAAUGAGAUGAUAUAAAAUAUAAAAUUUAUGACUAUUAUUCCAACUAGAUAAGCACAACACGGCAUAAAAAAGCACAAAAAAUAUUAUUCCAAUCAGAACGAGGAUAAUACAACUUUCUUUUGAAAUGAUACAAAUUUGUUAGAAAUAGUUUAACUUAUUCUAUCACAACCGAAAGUCUAGUAUCAACAUAAGAUAACGAUUCAUGACAUAUAUAUAAUUGGGAAAACGAAGAUGCAUAUGCUGGGAACUCUUGCCAGAAAUAACAUAAUAUUUAACACAUAGCGGACCACGUACCAUAAUAAAGCCUAAAUUUUCUCUAUAACUAAUUAAGCUUCGAUGUUCGUUUGUAAAUAAAACGGAGAAAAAUCCUGGAUGACAUAUAUGGUAUUAAAUUAUCGUAUUUUCAUUUAUUAUAUGGCAUGAUCAUUUAACAUAAUGAUAUUAUGCCGAGCUAUGGAGCGAGCCAGUAUUGGUUCAAGAUCAGCCCGUUUCUCGACUAAGCUACAUGAAGUGUUCGUACUCAACUCAUUUCUUUUUGAGUCGAGUGAAAAAACGAGUCGAUCUCGAGCCGCUCACGAGCCUCAAGCUUUUCUUCCAGCCCUAAUCUCAAGCAACGUCAUGUUGAGACAACUCAAUCAUCAUACUUUCCAUCCCAUAUCAGUGGCGGAUAAUGGAAAGACAUUAGUAUCACAAGGCCUGGACCGAAGGCAAUAAGUUCUAUGGAAAACCGUGAUCCCCAGAAUAAUUGUGUUCCUCUCAUGAUAUCGAUGCCCUGUCACCUGGAGGUCUCUCGAUUUGCACCUGGAGUUGAACGUCUCCAACUACACCAAUUGAUCAGAUGUCUCCAAUCACUAAAUUACCGCAAGAGUAAAUAAUAACAUGAAGAGGAAAAACAUGACUAAACAACGCAUAUCGAAUAACAGCUUACAGCUGAUCGACCCAUAGCCAAUGAUUACUCAAAUAACAUCACAUAUAAAAGGGUUUAAGAGGUGUUACAACCCAUUACAGAGACCGUGAUGGGAGGGGGAACGAGAAGGGCUAUGGGUGAGGACGAUGCGGCGACGACAACACUUCUCCGGCAUUGCCUCUUCAAGGUUGCAAUGAUGGAGAUGGAGGCUUGGCACAACCCUCAAGUGCUUUUUGAUGUCGAUGGCAUCUGAACAUAUGGAUUGUGUCCCCGAGUGGCUAGGGUUGGAGGUGUAUUUAUAAGAACUAGCCCCCUUCGUUGAUGUAGCAUCUCUACUUUGAUACAAGUGCUCUAGGUGAGCCCAAUCUUUCCCAAAACAUCCCUUCAUGGCAAAGAAAGUAGUAGGAAUUAACCGGGACAAAAUCCUCAAAGAAUCCUGUCUGAAAGGGCAACUUUCGUGCUUGUCUAGGCCUAAUACGAGCACUGGUACAACCAUUUUUUUAUGUAUCAAAGUUCGUCGAUCGCUUUGGACUCUUUGGUAAAACCGCCGAAACUUUUACAUCCGGACUCUGUUUUUGAUGUUCAUAUGCUCGUUGGAAUCAUGAUAACAGCGCUGAUGCACUUGUGAUAUUAGAUAUUGAUUGUGAGCACUUUGGAAAAUGACCUUUUUCACCCUCUGAAAUGCCCAAGUCUGGUGUCUCGAUGUCCUUCGUUUGGAUUCUUUUCAUCAUGUUAAGUGCAUGAGAGUUCCACAUCACGUACAAACACACAAAGACAAAGAAUACUAAUAAGAAUAAAUAAAGAAUAAACAUUAUGCAAUGCUCGCGCUGCAAAUGUUAAACACUAGAGAUCAUGCAUAUGGACAAUGUAAUUGGCUCAAUGGCACAUGCUAUACGAGAUAAUAGGCGACAAAUGAGCUCUAAACGUGCGUAAAAAUAGGAGCCAUCACUAGGAUCAACGAGAUAUUAUCUUGUGGAACACCUUCCAUCCUUUUGAAUGGUGAGCCCGGUAGACAAUUCCAGUGAAAACAUGGAGUUCACCAAGGCGGCCCACUGUUACCACUUCUAUUUUUAUUGGUAGUGGAUUUACUUCAGUCUAUCCUCAGUGACAUUUAUCAUUGUGGGGAGAUCUUUCAAUCCCAUCUCAUGAUCUAGAAUCUCCAAUUGUCCACUAUGUUAAUGAUAUAUUGUUGAUUAUGCCGGAUAUUGAUUCUCAGCUUCUUGACCUAAAAGAAAUGUUACAACUUUUGUCUAAAUCCACUUGCUUGAAAGUGAAUUUUUGAAAAUCCUCCAUGGUUCUUAUAAAUGUGAUUGCCAAUGAAUCUUCUCAUUGGCCAGUUUGUUUGAGUGUCAACAGGGUAAGAUGCCUUUCACUUACCUGGUUUACCUAUGGGUAACACUAGGCCCAAGAUCUAGGACUUAAUGCCUUUGGUUGAUAUAAUGAAAAGGAAAUUGGCAGCCAUCUCUUCUCUACUCUCACAAGGCGCUAAAUUGAAACUUUUGAGGUCUGCCAUUUCAUCUAUACCGAUAUACUAUCUUUGUAGUUUGUAGACCCCCCCUUGGUAUAAUUAAACAACUGGAGAGAAUUGAGCAGAAUAUAUCUGGCGUGGCAAUGCUGAAAGCAUAAAUCGACCAUUCGCGAUAUGUCAUCUGGUUUGUAAACCAAAAGGAGAAUGGUUGUAUCGGUAUCAUUAACCAUCAUAUUCAGGACCAACCUUUGCUUACAAAAUACUUGUACAAAUUUUAUAAUAAAGCUCAUAUUCCAUGGGUAACUUUGAUAUAGACUUCUUACUAUCAUGGAGUCAUACCUGACGCAACAGUUCUUUGUGGCUCUUUCUGGUGGAGGGAUAUUUGGGAACUUAAUGAUCAGUACAUGGCAAUCUCUUCAAUCAAAGUUAAUACUGGCAACUUUGCCCUGUUCUUGCUUGAUGCCUAGUUGAUUGAGGGAUCUUCUCUACCUCUUCGACAUCAUUUGGAAGGCUCUUUUCAUUGCCUUGGAUAAAAAAAAUCUGUUAAAGAUUUUACAGAAACCCCUGAUCGGACCACUCUUUUGCGCCUGCCAAUUUCUGCUGAGGCGAUAGAUGAAUUGCGACCUAUGGAUGGUUGGUUACAUAGCCUUCAGCGAAAGAUGUUUUUUCUUGGUAAGGAGGAUCAUUUUCCGCCAAAAGCUUCUACUGCAUGAUGCACAAGCACAUGCCCACCGAUGAACCUCUUGCGAAUGGAUAUGAUAGAGCACCAUGAAGAUCAAGAUCUUUGCUUAGAUCCUAUUGUUUUAUCGGUUGAACGCUUGGAACAUGCUUCUUAGAAGGCACUGGCUUUCUCCUCGGGAUGAAACCCAUUGUGCUCACAUCAGGAGAGAGACCACUUGUUUUUCUCCUGUAAUUUUAGUCAAAGGAUUUGGACUUAUUUUACAGAUUGAUUGGAGCCCCAGAUGAAACGCUAGACAAUGUAUUGAUGUUGCAUGUAAACGAUUUGGAUACCAGUGGCGGCGCCAAGAUUUUGAGGGUGGGUAUUCAUUGGCACAAAAAAAUUACUCUAAAUGUAUUAUAAAGACACCAGUACAACAAUAGUAAUUUUUUAAUGCAUCAAACCAUACUAAUUAUACAUAAACAUAAAGACACCAGUACCUUUUGAUUGACAGAUUGGUGAUAUCCCAUCUUACAAUAUAACUUUGCGAUUGCCUUUUUGGAAGAGAUUGAUGACAUCCUCAUCCUUUACUUGAUUGAAGAAUUCUCUCUCAACAAAUGUAACCAAACAAUUGUUCAAGUAAUCAUCACCCAUUUUGCUCCUUAGCUUAUUCUUCACAUAGUUCAUUGAAGAGAACACCCUUUCAACACUAGCAGUAGCUACUGGCAGAAUUAAUACCAACUUAAGAAGCUUGUAAACAAUAUAGUAUUGUUCAUGCUUGUUUGUCUCGACAAGCAUAACUGAAAGCUCACAUAGAUUCUUCAAGUUUUGAAACCUUUCAUCUCUACGCACAUGAGUAACAUACAUGUUUAGUUGCCAUGGAAGUCUUGCCAGUUCAUCACUUGUGAAAUCACUAGCAUAAAACUUUGUAGCAAGCCUAACCAAUUUCUCUUGAUCAUAAGCAGCAAAUAGACGAAGUGGACAAAAUGCUGCCAUGCAAGAAAGUAGAUCUGUGUUUACCUCAUCAAAUCUGCCAUUCAACUCACUAAUUUGCAUAUCAAUGACACUCGCAUACAUAUCAACUUUGAAGCGAUGGUAAUUCGUUGCACCAUUAAAGAAACCCCUUCUAGGCUGGCCAGCGGGAAAGUAAGGACCCUCCAUAUCAACAAUUUUGAUCUUAUGCUUUGUACAAAAAGAUGUGACCUUUUUGAGAAAAUCAUCCCAUCCAGGAUCAGUCCUCAAACCCUCCAAGUGAUACUUUGUGAUAUCAACAAGCUCAAUAGCAUGAACAAUAUCUUGGUCUUGCUUUUGCAAAGCUCUACUCAACUCAUCUGUGUAUCCAAAUAUUUGUUGCAUCAAGUGUGCCAUGAAAACAAACUCUAAUGAUCGAAAUGAUGUCAAUAUGGUUAGAGCCGCUUGCGCCUCCACACCAUGGUACUCUUUUCCAAUCUUGAUGAGGACUCGUUGUAUUGCACCAUACAUACAGAUGACAUGGUUCACGGGUUUGAAGUGAGAGCCCCAACGUGUAUCACAUGGCCUUCCCAAACCCAUUUCCUGAUUCAGCCCACUCCCGGUUUCUACUUCUUCCAAUUCCAAUGCAUCAAUGAGUUCCUCAGCCUGAGCUAUACGAAGCAUUCUCAUAUUUUUACAAGACAUGCCAAGAGAAUUUAACAAGUGUGCAAGUUGUUGAAAGAACUGUUGGGGAACGUAGCAGAAUUCUAAAAUUUUCUACGCAUCACCAAGAUCAAUCUAUGGAGUCAUCUAGCAACGAGGGAGAGGGGAGUGCAUCUACAUACCCUUGUAGAUCGCGAACGGAUGCUUUCAAGAGAACGGGGUUGAUGGAGUCGUACUCGUCGUGAUCCAAACCACCGAUGACCUAGCGCCGAACGGACGACACCUCCGCGUUCAACACACGUACGGUUGGAAGACGUCUCCUCCUUCUUGAUCCAGCAAGGGGAAGGAGAGGUUGAUGGAGAUCCAGCAGCAUGAUGGCGUGGUGGUGGAAGCAGCGGUGAUCUCGGCAGGGCUUCACCAAGCUCCAACGAGAGAGAGAGAGAGGUGUUACGCGGGGAGAGGGAGGCGCCAGAGACUUGGUGCGGCUGCCCUCCCCCCACUUUAUAUAGGGCCCCUAGGGGGGCGCCGGCCCUAGGAGAUGGGAUCUCCAAGGAGGGGCGGCGGCCAAGGGGGACUUGCCCCCCAAGCCAAGUGGGGCGCCCCCCACCCCUAGGGUUUCCAACCCUAGGCGCAGGGGGAGGCCCAUGGGGGGCGCAUCAGCCCACCAGGGGAUGGUUCCCCUCCCACUUCAGCCCAUGGGGCCCUCCGGGAUAGGUGGCCCCGCCCGGUGGACCCCCGGGACCCUUCCGGUGGUCCCGAUACAAUACCGAUUACCACCAAAACUUUCCCGAUGGCCGAAACUAGACUUCCUAUAUAUAAAUCUUCACCUCCGGACCAUUCCGGAACUCCUCGUGACAUCCGGGAUGUCAUCCGGGACUCCGAACAACUUUCGGCUUACCGCAUACUAAUAUCUCUACAACCCUAGCGUCACCGAACCUUAAGUGUGUAGACCCUACGGGUUCGGGAGACAAGCAGACAUGACCGAGACGACUCUCCGGUCAAUAACCAACGUCAGGAUUUGGAUACCCAUGUUGGCUCCCACAUGUUACACGAUGAUCUCAUCGGAUGAACCACGAUGCCGAGGAUUCAAUCAAUCCUGUAUUCAACUCCCUUUGUCAAUCGGUACGUUACUUGCCCGAGAUUCGAUCGUCGGUAUUCCAAUACCUCGUUCAAUCUCGUUACCGGCAAGUCACUUUACUCGUUCCGUAACACAUCAUACCGUGACCAACCCUUAGCCACAUUGAGCUCAUUACAAUGAUGUUUUACCGAGUGGGCCCAGAGAUACCUCUCCGUCAUGCGUAGUGACAAAUCCCAGUCUCGAUUCGUGCCAACCUAACAGUCACUUUCGGAGAUACCCGUAGUGGACCUUUAUAGUCACCUAGUUACGUUGUGACGUUUGGAACACCCAAAGAAUUCCUACAGUAUCCAAGAGUUGCACAAUCUCAUGGUCUAAGGAAAAGAUACUUGACAUUCGAAAAGCUCUAGCAGAUGAACUACACGAUCUUGUGCUAUGCUUAAGAUUGGGUCUUGUCCAUCACAUCAUUCUUCUAAUGAUGUGAUCCCCGUGAUCAAUGACAUCUAAUGUCCAUAGUCAGGAAACCAUGACUAUCUGUUGAUCAACGAGCUAGUCAACUAGAGGCUCACUAGGGACAUGUUGUGGUCUAUAUAUUCACACAUGUAUUACGAUUUCUGGAUAACACAAUUAUAGCAUGAACAAUAGACAAUUAUCAUGAACAAGGAAAUAUAAUAAUAACCAUUUUAUUAUUGCCUCUAGGGCAUAUUUCCAACAGUCUCCCACUUUCACUAGAGUCAAUAAUCUAGUUACAUUGUGAUGAAUCGAACACCCAUAGAGUUCUGGUGUUGAUCAUGUUUUGCUCGAGGAAGAGGUUUAGUCAACGGAUCUGCGACAUUUAGGUCCGUAUAAACUCUGCAAAUAUCUAUGUCUCCAUUUUGUACAUUUUCACGAAUGGAGUUGAAGCGACGCUUGAUAUGCCUGGUCUUCCUGUGAAACCUGGGCUCCUUGGCAAGGGCAAUAGCUCCAGUGUUGUCACAGAAGAGAGUCAUCGGGCCCAACGCAUUGGGAAUAACUCCUAGGUCGGUAAUGAACUCCUUCACCCAGAUUACUUCUUGUGCUGCCUCUGAGGCUGCCAUGUACUCCGCUUCACAUGUAGAUCCCGCCACGACGCUUUUCUUGCAACUGCACCAGCUGACUGCCCCACCAUUCAAAAUAUACACAUAUCCGGUUUGUGACUUAGAGUCAUCCAGAUCUGUGUCGAAGCUAGCAUCGACAUAACCCUUUACGACGAGCUCUUCAUCACCUCCAUAGACGAGAAACAUAUCCUUAGUCCUUUUCAAGUACUUCAGGAUAUUCUUGACCGAUGUCCAGUGUUCCAUGCCGGGAUUACUUUGGUACCUUCCUACCAAACUUACGACAAGGUUUACAUCAGGUCUGGUACACAGCAUGGCAUACAUGAUAGACCCUAUGGCCGAGGUAUAGGGGAUGACACUCAUCUUUUCUCUAUCUUAUGCCAUGGUCGGGCAUUGAGCUGUGCUCAAUCUCACACCUUGCUAUACAGGCAAUAACCCCUUCUUGGACUGAUCCAUAUUGAACUUCUUCAAUAUCUUGUCAAGGUAUGUACUUUGUGAAAGACCAAUGAGGCGUCUCGAUCUAUCUCUAUAGAUCUUGAUGCCUAAUAUAUAAGCAGCUUCUCCAAGGUCCUUCAUUGAAAAACACUUGUUCAAGUAGGCCUUUAUGCUUUCCAAGAAUUCUAUAUCAUUUCCCAUCAAUAGUAUGUCAUCCACAUACAAUAUGAGAAAUGCUACGGAGCUCCCACUCACUUUCUUGUAAACGCAGGCUUCUCCAUAAGUCUGCGUAAACCCAAACGCUUUGAUCAUCUCAUCAAAACGAAUGUUCCAACUCUGAGAUGCUUGCACCAGCCCAUAAAUCGAGCGUUGGAGCUUGCACACCUCGUCAGCAUUCUUAGGAUCGACAAAACCUUCCGGCUGCAUCAUAUACAAUUCUUCCUUAAGGAAACCAUUAAGGAAUGCCGUUUUGAUGUCCAUUUGCCAUAUCUCAUAAUCAUAGAAUGCGGCAAUUGCUAACAUGAUUCGGACGGACUUCAGCUUCGCUACGGGUGAGAAAGUCUCAUCGUAGUCAACCCCUUGAACUUGUGAUAACCCUUAGCGACAAGCCGAGCUUUAUAGAUGGUCAGAUUACCAUCCGCGUCUGUCUUCUUCUUAAAGAUCCAUUUAUUUUCUAUGGCUCGCCGAUCAACGGGCAAGUCAGUCAAAGUCCAUACUUCCUUUUCAUACAUGGAUCCUAUCUCAGAUUUCAUGGCUUCCAGCCAUUUGUCAGAAUCUGGGGCCGCCAUCGCUUCUUCAUAGUUCGAAGGUUCACCAUUGUCCAACAACAUGAUUUCCAGGAUAGGGUUGCCGUACCACUCUGGUGCGGAACGCGUCCUUGUGGACCUUUGAAGUUCAGUAGCAACUUGAUCUGAAGUUUCAUGAUCAUCAUCAUUAUCUUCCUUCCUAGUCGGUGCAGACACCUCAGGAACAAUUUCUUGAGCUGCGCCACUCUCUUGUUCAAGAGGCAAUACUUCAUCAAGUUCUACUUUCCUCCCACUUACUUCUUUCGAGAGAAACUCUUUCUCUAGAAAGGAUUCAUUCUUGGCAACAAAGGUCUUGCCUUCGGAUCUAAGAUAGAAGGUAUACCCAAUAGUUUCUUUAGGGUAUCCUAUGUAGACGCAUUUUUCCAAUUUGGGUUCGAGCUUUUCAGGUUGAAGUUUCUUGACAUAAGCAUCGCAUCCCCAAACUUUCAGAAACGACAUCUUAGGUUUCUUGCCAAACCACAAUUCAUACGGUGUCGUCUCAACGGAUUUCGACGGAGCCCUAUUUAAAGUGAAUGCGGCAGUCUCUAUAGCAUAACCCCAAAAUGAUAGCGGUAGAUCGGUAAGAGACAUCAUAGAUCGUACCAUAUCCAAUAGGGUGCGAUUACGACGUUCGGACACACCAUUACGCUGUGGUGUUCCAGGCGGCGUGAGUUGUGAAACUAUUCCACAUUUCCUUAAGUGCGUGCCAAAUUCGUGACUCAAAUAUUCUCUCCCACGAUCUGAUUGUAAGAACUUGAUUUUCCUCUCACGUUGAUUCUCAACCUCACUCUGAAAUUCCUUGAACUUUUCAAAGGUCUCAGACUUGUGUUUCAUUAAGUAGACAUACCCAUAUCUACUUAAGUCAUCGGUGAGGGUGAGGACAUAACGAUAGCCACCGCGAGCCUCAACGCUCAUUGGACCGCACACAUUAGUAUGUAUGAUUUCCAAUAAGUUGGUUGCUCGCUCCAUUGUUCCGAAGAACAGAGUCUUGGCCAUUUUACCCAUGAGGCAUGGUUCGCACGUGUCAAAUGAUUCAUAAUCAAGAGACUCCAAAAGUCCAUCUGCAUGGAGUUUCUUCAUGCGUUUGACACCAAUGUGACCAAGGCGGCAGUGCCAAAAGUAUGUGGGACUAUCAUUAUCAACCUUACAUAUUUUGGCAUUCACACUAUGAAUGUGUGUAACAUCACGUUCGAGAUUAAAUAAGAAUAAACCAUUGACCAGCGGGGCAUGACCAUAAAACAUGUCUCUCAUAUAAAUAGAACAACCAUUAUUCUCAGAUUUAAAUGAGUAGCCAUCUAGCAUUAAAUGAGAUCCAGAUACAAUGUUCAUGCUCAAAGCUGGUACUAAAUAACAAUUAUUGAGGUUUAAAACUAAUCUCGUAGGUAAAUGCAGAGGUAGCAUGCCGACGGCGAUCACAUCGACCUUGGAACCAUUCCCAACGCGCAUCGUCACCUCGUCCUUCGCCAGUCUCCGUUUAUUCCACAGUUCCUGUUUUGAGUUACAAAUAUGAGCAACUGCACCAGUAUCAAAUACCCAGGAGCUACUACGAGCACUGGUAAGGUACACAUCAAUAACAUGUAUAUCACAUAUACAUUUGGUAUUGUUGGCCUUCUUUUCCGCUAAGUACUUGGGGCAAUUCCGCUUCCAGUGACUGUCUCCCUUGCAAUAAAAGCACUCAGUCUCAGGCUUGGGUCCAUUCUUUGACUUCUUCCCGGCAGCUUGCUUACUGGGCGCGGCAAAUCCCUUGUCGUCCUUCUUGAAGUUCUUUUUACCCUUGCCUUUCUUCACUACUAGGGAAAAGGCUAGCAGCAGCGCGGGUUUUAGACCUAUCAGUAGCGCGGGGUGGUGCGCUACUGAUAAGGCGCUACAGCUAACGAAUAGCAGUAGCGUGCCUCCACCCACGCUACGACUAAAUAGACUUAGUAGCAGCGAGUUCCAGGAGGAGCGUUGCUGGUAAUUAGUAGUAGCGCUUCUCUCUGCCCGCGCUGCUACUAUUAUUUCGUAUUUUAUUUCUUUUUUAUUUCAUGUUGUAUUCGUACACCUUUACACAAAUUUUCAUACAACAGGAAUUUACAAAUUGUUUUUACAUCAUAAUGAGUUAUUACAUCACGGGGUGAAAGAACCGUGUGGACUAGUUUCAAGUGGACGGACAUCCACUUGAAACUAAUCCGCGGUUCUUUCACCCAAUGAUAUAAUAAAUAUCAUCAUCAUCAUAUCAUUAACAACUUAUCAUCAUCAUCAUCAUAUCAUUGGUCACUAGUCGUAAUCACAAGUAUUCCUGACAUCUUCAACUCUAACACAUUGUAUCACAUAAUAAACAUAUUGUACCUCAUAGGACCUACUACAUUCUCUUAGGACCUACUAUAUUCUCUAAGGUAAAAUAGAAAAAAACAAGAUAGCCCCUCGCUCUCCAUUAUGGAGAAUGCAGAUUAUCCUGUCUCCAAUUCUUGCCUUUCACUUAAUGUUGCUUCCAAGAAUCUCCUUACGAAUGUCCAAACAUUUUUUCCACUCUUUGAUUAGCAUGUGUUCACCGGUUUCAGAAAUUCGAUAUGCACAGGUGAGAUCCAUAGGAUGACCUGGCUGUAGGUUCAGAACUUCAAGGCGACCAUUGUAAUACAUCAAAUGAGGCACACAAUCCAUCGGGAUUUUCUAUUGAAAAACAUAGUAAUAACUUCAUAGUUAGCAAUGAUGUACUAGUUUUAGAAGUAUGCAAAAGAUGCACGGAUGUCGUAAUAGUAAAAUAUCUUACCAGGGUAUCUCCAUAGAAGUUAUCGUGGUUUAACACGUGCACUAGUGGCACGUAUUCACCAUAAUUUGGAGGAGUUCGAUAAUAGGUAUUGUAAUUCUCAAAAAAAGUACAAUAAGCAAUCAGAUGAUUUUUCUCCUUAUAAGUUAAUUCGGAGCCAUCAGUGUAGUGGGUUUUGUCUACCAUCUUCUCCACAUUCUUUGAAGAUUCAAAAUAAGCUAUCAAUGGAAAUAAGCUGUCAACUAUUUUGAAAUAAACAAUAUAAAUUAGUUAAUAACUAUGUUUGAGAAACUCACAUUGCGGUAGAAUCGGAAGCGUAUCAACAAGGACCCAAAUGUCCAUAUUGUCUUGCUCAAUGUCAGGAUGACCAAGAUCCAUGGUGACAAUCAUACCCUCAUAAAAACCAUACAUUUUGCAAAGUGCUUCCCAAUUUUGACAACCAAAAUGGGUUACGCUCUGAGAAUUAUACAGAUUUACUUCAAAAUCGAUAUCAUGAUGGGUCCUUAGGUGUAUUUUCUUUGUUUGAAAAUUUUAAUGGUCUUCAAAACCCAUCCUCUCCAAGACAUAGCAUCUUGCAUGGCAUGGGAUAAGCUAGUCAAAUUGUAAAAGAUGAAAAUUAGACAUUGAAAUAGGUGAAGUCAUGCUUAAUUACGAAAAAAACACUUGUCGUUGUUGCGUACCGUUUCAACAUCGAAGGUCUCCUCGAGCUUAAUGCUGAAGCGCCGAUCUUCGUCCAGCUCAACGAACCUGUCGCACAUACCUCGAUCGUCGUGGCACCAGCUGCACUCCCCCGGGAGACCGUCGUAGUCCGAGUACAACAUUUCCUAUGUUCAUAAUUCAAAGAUUAAACUUGUACAAUUAAAUAUAUGUACUAAAAAACCUAAAUUAGAUCAUUAUUUUUCAAAGAAAAUCCAGGCCACUCGAUAUUUCCCACAUAUUCUAGCACAAGUCAUGCCAGAAUUCACGGAAAAAUCCGGCAUGACCUUUGCUAAAAAAGGACAUAUCGAGCGCCUGAAAUUUGCCGAAACGGAAAUUAAUCAACACUCCGGCAAAACAUAGGCCACUCGGAGGUGUAACCAAAACAUGAAAUAAUUGCUUAAACUAAAAAAUAACACCAAAUAUGGCAUGUUCAACUAGUUCUAUUAAUUCAACUAGUUCUAUUAAUUCAACUAGUUCUUACUAAAUAUAAACUUAGUAUAAAAAGAAAAAAACCAGUUCUUUCUAAAAAUGAAGUAGUUCAACUAGUUAUUAAUUUACUUACUAUACUAGUUCAACUAAAACUUAACUAGUUCAACUAAAACUAAACUAGUUCUAUUAAUUCAACUAGUUCUUACUAAAUAUAAACUUACUAUAAAUAGAAAGAAACUAGCACAUCUAGUACUACUAAUUAACAUCUAACUACUACAUCUACUACUAAUUAACAUGUACUACUGCUAAUUAUACAACUAGUUUACCAUCACUACUAGUAAUUAAUAUCCACUACUUCUAAAAAUCAUUAUCUAUGAACCCUAAAUUAACAUCUACUACUACUAAAAUCAUGUACUAACUGAGCAAAGAGAGAGGGGGUUGGGGAGGGGUGGUGGGCUUACAGAGGGAGAGAUGGUGGCGGGGAGGUGCUCGGCAACGGAGGGGCGGCGAGGGCGGGCUCGGGAUCGGGAGGGCGGCGGUCCUGGGCGGCGGGCUCAGCAGGCUCGGUCGAGGGCAGCGGUGGUGAGGUCGAGGGCGGCGACAGUGUGGUCAAGAGCGGCGGCGGUGAGGUUGAGGGCGGGCGGAGGCGGCGGUGAGGGCGCAGGCGCACUCGGGCUCGGGCGGCGGCGACAUGGAGUAGGGGAACAGGCCGGUGGGGGGGGGAGGAGGACUUAGCGAAAUUUUGAUGCGGGGGGUGGUUAACUCGAACUAGCAGUAGCGCACGUAUAGAAAAUGCGCUAUAGCUAGCUUAUCUACAACGCGUUUUGGGAAAAACCGCUACUGCUAAUGGAAGCAGUUGUUUCUUUUGUUUAGUAAAAACAUCAAAAAUAUACAUUGGUCAUCAUUAAUCUUGUUGUGUAUAAUCUAAAUAGUCAACAUGAAUCCUCACUAUACCUGUAUAGGUACAGGCGAGGAUUCAUAUUGCAACCACAAAUCAUACACAUAUAGUUCAAUGAAGACCAAGUGCUCGAGAUAGGUUGAGAAGCAACAUAUUUAAGGUGGUAAACACCUUGUUCGCUUAGCAGUAUGGGACUAAACUUAAUUAGUUGCGGUCAUACUUACCAGCAGCGAGUUUUGAGCAAAACCGCUGCUACUAAGUUCUUUAGCAGUAGCGCGUCCACGGGAAGGGCGCUACUACUAUAUCUAGCCUGGAGGCAACACCGUGGCAAUUAUAGUAGUAGCUCUCUUUUCACCUAGAGCGCUACUGCUACUCAGUCAUUAGCAACGCUCUUUUCUAAAGCUCGUUGCUGCUAAUUAGCAGUAGCGUCUAUUUUUAGACCGCGCUGCUGCUAAGAUUCUGUGUAUAAGGUUUUCCCUAGUAGUGCUUGAACUUAGUGGUUUUAUUCACCAUCAACACUUGAUGUUCCUUUUUGAUUUCCACCUCCGCUGAUUUCAGCAUUGAAUAUUUCUCGGGAAUGGUCUUUUCCAUCCCCUGCAUAUUGAAGUUCAUCACAAAGCUCUUGUAGCUAGGUGGGAGCGACUGAAGGAUUCUGUCAACGACCGCAUCAUCCGGGAGAUUAACUCCUAGCUGAGACAAGCGGUUAUGCAGCCCAGACAUUUUGAGUAUGUGCUCGCUGACAGAACUGUUCUCCUCCAUCUUACAACUGUAGAAAUUGUCGGAGACUUCAUAUCUCUCGAUCCGGGCGUGAGCUUGGAAAACCAUUUUCAGCUCUUGGAACAUCUCAUAUGCUCCGUGUUGCUCAAAACGCUUUUGGAGCCCCGGUUCUAAGCUGUAAAGCAUGCCGCACUGAACCAGGGAGUAAUCAUCACUACGUGUCUGUCAAGCGUUCAUAAUGUCUUGUUCUGCAGGGAAAACAGGUACUUCACCUAGCGGUGUAUCAAGGACAUAUGCUUUCCUGGCAGCUAUGAGGAUAAUUUUCAGGUUACGGACCCAGUCCGUGUAGUUGCUGCCAUCGUCUUUCAGGUUGGUUUUCUCUAGGAACGCAUUGAAGUUGAGGGAAACAUUAGCGUGGGCCAUUUGAUCUACAAGACAUAUUGCAAAGAUUUUAGACUAAGUUCAUGAUAAUUAAGUUCAUCUAAUCAAAUUAUUUAAAGAACUCCCACUCAGGCAGACAUCCCUCUAGUCAUCUAAGUGAUACAUGAUCCGAGUCAACUAGGCCGUGUCUGAUCAUCACGUGAGACGUCAUCGGUGAACAUCUUCAUGUUGAUCGUAUCUUCUAUACGACUCAUGUUCGAACUUUGGGUCUUCCGUGUUUCGAGGCCAUGUCUGUACAUGCUAGGCUUGUCAAGUCAACCUAAGUGUAUUGCAUGUGUAAAUCUGGCUUACACCCAUUGUAUUCGAAUGUUAGAAUCUAUCACACCCGAUCAUCAUGUGGUGCUUCGAAACAACGAACCUUCGCAACGGUGCACAAUUAGGGGGAACACUUUCUUGAAAUUAUGUGAGGGAUCAUCUUAUUUAAGCUACCGUCGUUCUAAGCAAAUAAGAUGUAAAACAUGAUAAACAUCACAUGCAAUCAAAUAGUGACAUGAUAUGGCCAAUAUCAUUUGCUUCUUUUGAUCUCCAUCUUCGGGGUGCCAUGAUCAUCAUUGUCACCGGCAUGACACCAUGAUCUCCAUCAUCGUGUCUUCAUGAAUUUAUCUCGUCAUCUAUUACUUCUACUACUAUGGCUAACGGUUUAGCUAUAAAGUAAAGUAAUUACAUGACGUUUAUGUUGACACGCAUGUCAUAAAUAAAUUAAGACAACUCCUAUGGCUCCUGCCGGUUGUCAUACUCAUCGACAUGCAAGUCAUGAUUCCUAUUACAAGAACAUGAUCAAUCUCAUACAUCACAUAUAUCAUUCAUCACAUCCUUUUGGCCAUAUCGCAUCACAUGGCACAUGCUGCAAAAACAAGUUCGACGUCCUCUAAUUGUUGUUGCAAGUUUUUACGUGGCUGCUAUAGGUUUCUAGCAAGAACGUUUCUUACCUACGCCAAAACCACAACGUGAUAUGCCAAUUUCUAUUUACCCUUCAUAAGGACCCUUUUCAUCGAAUCCGAUCCGACUAAAGUGGGGGAGACAGACACACGCUAGCCACCUUAUGCAACUAGUGCAUGUCAGUCGGUGGAACCAGUCUCACGUAAGCGUACGUGUAAGGUCGGUCCGGGCCGCUUCAUCCCACGAUGCGGCCGAAUCAAGAUAAGACUAGUAAUGGCAAGUAAAUUGAAAAAAUCAACGCUCACAACAACUUGUGCUCUACUCGUGCAUAGAAACUACGCAUAGACCUAGCUCAUGAUGCCACUCUUGGGGAACGUAGCAGAAUUCUAAAAUUUUCUAUGCAUCACCAAGAUCAAUCUAUGGAGUCAUCUAGCAACGAGGGAGAGGGGAGUGCAUCUACAUACCCUUGUAGAUCGCGAACGAAAGCGUUCAAGAGAAUGGGGUUGAUGGAAUCGUACUCGUCGUGAUCCAAAUCACCGAUGACCUAGCGCCGAACGGACGGCAUCUCCGCGUUCAACACACGUACGGUUGGGAAGACGUCUCCUCCUUCUUGAUCCAGCAAGGGGAAGGAGAGGUUGAUGGAGAUCCAGCAGCACGACGGUGUGGUGGUGGAAGCAGCGGUGAUCUCUGCAGGGCUUCGCCAAUCUCCAAUGAGAGAGAGAGAGAGGUGUUACAUGGGGAGAGGGAGGCGCCAGAGACUUGGUGCGGCUGCCCUUCCUCCCCCACACUAUAUAUAGGGCCCCUAGGGGGGCGCCGGCCCUAGGAGAUGGGAUCUCCAAGGGGGGGCGCGGCGGCCAAGGGGGACUUGCCCCCCAAGCCAAGUGGGGCGCCCCCACCCCUAGGGUUUCCAACCCUAGGCGCAGGGGGAGGCCCAUGGGGGGCGCACCAGCCCACCAGGGGCUGGUUCCCCUCCCACUUCAGCCCAUGGGGCCCUCCGGGAUAGGUGGCCCCACCAGGUGGGCCCCCGGGACCCUUCCGUUGGUCCCGGUACAAUACCGAUUACCCCCAAAACUUUUCCGAUGGCCAAAACUGGACUUCCUAUAUAUAAAUCUUCACCUCCGGACCAUUCCAGAACUCCUCAUGACAUCCGUGAUCUCAUCCGGGACUCCGAACAACUUUCGGGUUACCGCAUACUAAUAUCUCUACAACCCUAGCGUCACCGAACCUUAAGUGUGUAGACCCUACGGGUUCAGGAGACAAGCAGACAUGACCGAGACGACUCUCUGGUCAAUAACCAACAUCGGGAUUUGGAUACCCAUGUUGGCUCCCACAUGUUCCAUGAUGAUCUCAUCGGAUGAACCAUGAUGCCGAGGAUUCAAUCAAUCCUGUAUCCAAUUCCCUUUGUCAAUCGUUAUGUUACUUGCCCGAGAUUCGAUCAUCGGUAUUCCAAUACCUCGUUCAAUCUCGUUACCGGCAAGUCACUUUACUCGUCCCGUAACACAUCAUCCCGUGACCAACCCUUAGUCACAUUGAGCUCAUUACGAUGAUGUUUUACCGAGUGGGCCCAGAGAUACCUCUCCGUCAUGCGGAGUGACAAAUCCCCGUCUCGAUUCGUGCCAACCCAACAGACACUUUCGGAGAUACCCGUAGUGCACCUUUAUAGUCACCCAGUUGCGUUGUGAUGUUUGGCACACCCAAAGUAUUCCUACAGUAUCCGGGAGUUGCACAAUCUCAUGGUCUAAGGAAAAGAUACUUGACAUUCGAAAAGCUCUAGCAGACGAACUACACGAUCUUGUGCUAUGCUUAAGAUUGGGUCUUGUCCAUCACAUCAUUCUUCUAAUGAUGUGAUCCCGUUAUCAAUGACAUCUAAUGUCCAUAGUCAGGAAACCAUGACUAUCUGUUGAUCAACGAGCUAGUCAACUAGAGGCUCACUAGGGACAUGUUGUGGUCUAUAUAUUCACACAUGUAUUACGAUUUCCGGAUAACACAAUUAUAGCAUGAACAAUAGACAAUUAUAAUGAACAAGGAAAUAUAAUAAUAACCAUUUUAUUAUUGCCUCUAGGGCAUAUUUCCAACAAGAACCAAGUACAAUCACCACUCUCUUUAGCAACAACAACAAGAGUUAACUGUAGUUGAUGGGCAAACCAAUGAACAUAGUAGGCAGAAGGAGAUUCAUCCAUAAUCAGUUUUUAGGCCAUUAGCAUUACCUUUCAUGUUGCUAGCUCCAUCAUAUCCUUGCCUACGAACCAUUGCAAAGGUCAAAUUGUACUUCAUAAGCAUUUGCUCAAUUGCAGCUUUAAGUGUCAAAGAGGUAGUAAAUUGAACAUGAGCAAGACCAAGAAAUCUUACGACAACCCUUCCUUUCUUUUUCUUAUCAACAUAACACAAGCAAAUUGCCAACUGUUCAUUCUGAUACACAUCACUAGACUCACCUGCAAGUAUUGCAAAGUGGCCACCAUCAAGUUCUUCAAUGACUAAUUUUGUAGUCUCCUGUGCACAACAUUUUAUUAACUCAUGUUGUAUAUCAUGGUGAGUCAUCUUGCAGUUUUGUGGAGCAUUUUUGAGAGCAACCCUAUCAACCUCUUCAAAAUUUCCAGCUAGCCAAUUUAAAAGCUCAAGAAAAUUUCCUUUAUUUAGUGAGUUUUCACUUUCAUCAUGUCCUCUAAAUGCCAAUUCUUAGUGCAAUAGAAAUCUCAAACAUUUGAGUGUCCAUGUCAAACGCUGCUUAUACAAAGCCUUAUAUUGUGAGGUAUUUGAAGCAAAAGACUCCCUAAUUGAUGCUUGUGGUGUGAACAUAUCAUACUUCUCUUGAGCUUCAGCAUGAGCACUACUAACCUCACCUUCAUGUUUCUUCAAUCUCGAUUUCAUGUUCCAGUUCCUAAAUCCAUUCUUCACAAAUGCAUCUCCACCGGGAUAUUUUUUCUUAUCCUUGAACAGAUAGCAAACAAAGCAGAAAGCACUAUCUUUUGUCACACUAUACUCAAUCCAUGGAAAUUCUUUAAACCAAGCACGACAAAAGUGACGGUCAACUCCACUUUUAUUUGUAUACUCAAAGUUAUGAUUCUUUGGUUGACAUGGCUUCAUCUCAAUAUAUCUUCUUCUUACUCUAUCUUGGUCAUUGACAGCAUACAUUGAGAUGGGAAUCCGCUUCCCAGGAUCAGGUUCGAGUGCCUCCAAAUCUGCUUCCAUUGGUUCAUCAUCUGCAUCACUUGUUCCACCAUCUUUAUCAAUUGGGGUUGGGGUUGCUUCUCUGCUCCCCGGUUCACAUUCCACAUCCGGUGCUUGCACUAACGCCAAUUGCAAAUUGCUCUCAAGCUGAACAUGAGAGGUACAAGUACCCGAUGCAGCUGCACUCUGAUUCGGUGUAGACAUUUCAUCAAUCUUGUUUGCUUUUGAAGCUUUUUCCCACAAUGCAAGAAUCCUAUUUCCACCACCAGUCCCAUUCUUCUUCUUCAUCUACAUUACAACAAAACAAGGAAGAAAUUAGCAUCUACAAAUUAACAAAACAAGGAAGAAUCCUACUCCAGCUGCAAAAUCGAAUCAACUAAAAUACUGAAACUCUGUUUUCUUUAAUACUGUACCUGAACGCAGGGCACUGACGCAGGUGGGAGAAAGAAACUGCCGCUAGGCGCUGGACCCUGGGCUGGGCGGCGCCGCGGCGGGCGAUGGGCGGCUGGGGCGGGGCGGGGCGUCGUCGCAGCGAUGCAGUCUGAGGGGCGGCCGGCGGACGGCGAGCACCGGUGGCGCUGAGCGGCUAAGGGCGGAGCGGGGGCGGGGCGGUGGCCGGUGACUUGGUGAGCGGGAGCGGGGGUCGCUCGCGCUGGUCGCUGGAAUGGAUACCCUUUCUUCUUUGAAGUGGUGUUCUCUUGGAACUAAUAUUUGUAUUGAACUUAUAAAGGAUGAGCGGGUUGGUAGUCACAACCGCGGCAUCCACGUCGACUGUGAAUAGGCCUGCGACUCGCGCGGCAGCGAACGAAAAAGCGGCAGCGAAAGAAAAAUAAAUGACCCCACGUCCUCCCACGCCCCUUCCUCCUCCUCUCACGAGUCACGCCCGACCCCCUCCUCCUCCUCCUCUCCUCCUCCUCCUCCUCCUCCCGUCCUUCCUCAAAACCCUAGCCACCGCCCCCUCCUCCUCCCACCUCAGCCGCCGCUGCCGCCUCCUCCUCCUCAUCCUCCCACCUCAGUCGCCUCCUAGGAGAGCUCGACACGAUGGGGUGGCCGUGGAGUGCGCCCCGUCCGGAGAGACAAGGCGGCUCCCGAGCAGGGCAUCCGACAGCGCUGGCUUCUCCUCCCCUGCGCCACCGCUGCCCACCCCUCCUCAUCUCGUGCGGGCACGGAGGUGAGCUUCUCCGACGGCGGCGGCGACCUACAGUCAAAGGGCGACGGCGCUCGAUUUGAUCUACAGGAGAGAGAGAAGAUGAGAGGGAGAGAGAGAAGGAAGGAGAGGAGGUAGAAAUAGAGAGGAAAGAGGAGAGGGAUGUGCCGCGGCCGACGGGAGAGGGUCACCGGAAGGAACAACUGGUCAUCGUUCACACCGCGCUGGGCCAGAGAUGGCUCUGUACAGCCCACACGUCUGCAGGUUCCUUCUUCCUUCCUGCUCCUCUCCUCUUUUGAUUAGCUGUAACUGCAUGUUUGGGUCAGUGCUAUGCCUGCUGUCGCUGGGCAGUACUUUAGGCAAGUCAACCUUCCAAUUCAGUACACGUCUGCACAAGGAGAAGAGCCCCUGUUAGCUUUUCUUUUUGCAGAUUAGCCCAAUAAUCUACAUCAGUCGAUUUGAGGGUAUGUUGAAUGUGAUAUUUAAUGAACAUGGUCAUUCUGUUGUUCAGAGUACACAAGUGGUUACCCUUGAAGUCUCCUCCUUGCCCCGCUUAUUCAUUAAGGUAAUAUUUUGAUUUUCUCAAUUUGUCGCUUCAGUUCCACAUUAACCAUGAAUUGUUGUGUGUAAAUACUCAUAUCCCGUUAAGUUCAUGUGUAUAAAUCAAGUGGGUUGAAGUGUACUGUGAAUUUCCUGAAAAAGUUUACUUGAGAUAUUAUAUGCAUGGUGUGGAUUGUUGAGUUUGCUUGGUUAAUGCCAUGCCUGUGCAGAUCAACAGGGGGGAGGUCCAGGGUGAGACCUUCAAGAGGGAUUUGAUGUUGCUAUUAUUUCAGUUUGCAGAUAGAGGAUGUGAUUCCAGCAAGACAGUGACGAUGGCGAUGACAAGUGAGAUUUAUGUUAAGGAGUAUUAGCAUAUGCUCAUAGGAUCACUAGAAGCAUAUAAAGGUAUCCACAAUGAUGAUUGCUUUCUUAUCGACAAAGAGUUGAAUUAUAAUUAUAGACGGUAAGAGUAGUACCUUUAUAAUCAUAGCUGUAUGCAAUGAUCCAUCAUGUAUUUCUGUUUAAAACCGCAACAUGUAAUUAUUUGAUGUCGUGAAAUGUCUAUAUAUAUAUAUUUUGUUUACAUUCUUAAGUUAGCCUCCAGACUAUCUACAUUGUCAUGGUAACCUUGGUAGGUUAUAAUAUGCAGAUCGAUAAUCCCGGUUCAGUUUGAGCUUUCCAACUUAACUUAACUUAACAGUAUAGUGUUAAUAUUAGGAUCACAACUUAACUUAAAUUAGCAGUAUAGUGUCAAUGGGCAUCAUCUGAAGCUAAUAAGAUGUUGUUACUGAAGAACAGCCCCUUGCUACUUACUUGAACAGUACGUGAAAAACACCCUAAAUAGAUUAAAGAAAUCAUACUUGACUGUGAUUGCAUUUGGUUGACGCUUACGUGUAUUUCUCAUCGGUAGAUCAAGGGGGUAAUCUUCUACAUUUCAGGUCCAAGCUUUCAAUGAAUUUUUCUAUCUUUUUUUCAUAUCCCAAUCAUCGUCUGCAAGGCCGAAGCAUCCAUGUCUAUAUGGUUUUGUGGCACUGAGUUCGUUCCAUGCCAGUUUAUUUCUAACAGUUGGUCUGCUUCUUCAUAGAGAUUUUAUCAGUAUACUAAAUUAAAUAAGAAACUGAAUGUGUACUGCUUUCACCUUCAGUUUGAACAUGAUUGUCCUAUUUGUGACAUAGGUGAAAAUUAGCAAGCAAGCAACAGUCGGUGCAUGGAUGACCAAGUUUACUUUUUACUUUAUGAAGAUGAUGAUUCCUAAAUAGAAUUACGAGCUAGGUCCUGCAUGUUGACCGUGCUUCAAGGUACAGUUGUUCAUGCCUUAUAAAAUUGUAAUGCUUUUUAUUGGUUGUGCAUCCUAGGACCAAAAGCUUGAUUCAUAGAUAGCCGAAGAACUGAGGAAUUUUACUCUCUGUCGUUGCAGGGUAGAAGAGAAUGGGAGGAGGGGACGCGCGCUCCAUAUUUUGUUAUGCACACCUUCCUAAACUAUACUUUUCUUCUUAACAUAUGUUCAUUGUCCAGCAGAAGCUGUAGAUUUUAGCGUACAAUAAUUUCCAAAAUGGUAGAAGGUAAGAACCAUGUUACAUGAUCCUUUUGUGUUCUCUUGAUUUAAAUUAACACGUACCUGUUAAACUUGGUGAUGAUUUUCGAGGUGUAUUUAUAAAUUAUCUGCCAAGGUUAUUCCUUCAGGCAAUUUUUUUCUUCUGAAGCCUAGGCAUAUUGGUUGUUUGGUUGGCUCUCUUUACUAGCAGGAAGAUAACUACUACGUGUUGCUUAGUUGUGUUGCUUAGUUAUUAGCGGAUUGACUGUAUGAAUUAUCUUAUGUUCACCCAGAGUUAUAGGUUUCUAAAUACUAGGCUCUUGGGACUUAAUUCUAAUGGUUAGUUUUUUUGGAUUCAUGUACUCCGGUGCUACAGCCUAGGUAAAGCUCCUUCACAAUAGUAUUUAAAGCUUAUAUUGGUAACUCCAUCAGAGUUCAAGCAUUAGGCUCUCUGCUCUGUGUAUUGCAAAGUGUUCUAUAUAAUGCUUUGAUGUUCCUUUGUCACUGUUUGAUGUUCUACCUGGGUGGCCUCUGUCUUGGUUUACAGCUCCAUAUGGCUACCUAUGUAUACCUAUGUAGAUUUUGUUUGAACUGUACUCAAAUCGUGCAUAUGUUUCUAUAUUCUUGCCUUCCUCUUUUUAACUCAUGAGAUUGUUAGAUAGUUGAAUAUCAUUGGUCUCUGUCGGCAUUCUAUUUUCGCAGUUUGAAAUGAGUAUUGGUCCAUUGAUAUUAAACUUCACAAUAGGUAGUGGCAUCUUCAGGAAAAAGUAGUGGCAAAUAUGCUAGAGAUUUCUUUUUUGCUGCAGGAAUGACACUAUUGCCCAAAUCCUCAACACAUAUUUUUUAGUAACUGAGAGGAUUAUUCACCUUUGCUGUUGUAGGCAUUCAAGAUCUGGCAGGGCUGGGUCAACCGGCCCUUCGUGUUCAAGACCUGGCUCUGAUGAGCCUUGACAGUCCUGCUACCGGCUGGGCAUCGUCAUCCUGAGCCAUGUCCGGAACCAGACCAGUAGGGGCACCCUAAGCGAGCACUCGAGGCAUGCUGUCAAGUUGGACAAGUGCAACCAGGCCAGCUGUUGUGUGUGUCCACGGUUACAUUGUUGUAUUGUUGGUUAAAGACAAUGUUUUUCUUCUUGAAUUAUGAAACCUCGAACAACAGUUGGAUAUAAUCGUUUUGUUCGUUUUGCAAUCAAAGCUUCCAUCGAAUAAUAUUUUAGAAUUGUGCUCUGUCUUAUUCAUAAACUGUGGCUAUUUUGUAGAUUCAUACACGAUACGGCUUUGUGUGCAUUGAAAUAGCAACAAGUUGGCCUCUCGGUCUCAUUUAUGUAUACAUUUGACUCAUACACGCAGCCAGCAUGUCCAUGUGAUCUGGAUGAAUUUCUCUAUCCUGUUUUAUGUUGUGAUGUCUUUGAUUUUUUGUCUCUUCCAGAUUUACAUAUAGAUGCCUCGGUGAAUACUCAAGAAUUUUGUGUUCUUUUCUAUUGACGGCCUUUAGGUAUUUUAUUUUUAUUUUUAUAAUGAUUCUGAAACGAGGUCACUCCCUACUAAUCUUGCUCUCCAGGCCUGGUGGCGGGAUGCUUGGUCAAGAAUGCAGGGUGAGUAAAACAAAACGCUUUUAUCUCUCUGGUCAUCUAGAGCAUAUGGAGGAGCAAGAUAGCGGGCUUUGACAGUGUCUUCACACCGCCCCAGAGGGGGUGCCACUGAGGGCUUUCUCAUGGAACACGGUGCAAUGUGGUUUUAUGCACGCCUAUGAGCAGGCUACCCUGCACGCUGGUCUUCUACUGCUUUCCCAGGCAUAUUACUUCCCCGUGAGAUGCUUCCAAGGGCUCUAUUCGGCUCCAUUGUAUUUUUCUUCUUUUUUGAUUGCUUUUCCUUCUCUGUUUCUUUUUUAUAUGCAAGGCCAUAAAUUUUUACCAUGCAUCCUUGCUCGCAUAGAAAAUUACUUCAAAAUACACAUGCUUCUAAAAAUGCACAUCCUUUUCAAAACUAUGUAUAUCUUAUUAUCAAAGAUUAUAAGGCAGAAUGUGUUUGCCCACGACUAAAACAAGUAAUACAUUGUACUUUUUUCAAAGCACACAUGGAAUUAGCGGGCUCCUUCAGGUAUUUCAAGGGAAAAGCAGAAUAUGUUUAACUAAUUUUCUAUAUUGCUUAUUUAUGCAUUUGUGACCAUAGCUUUCCACUUUAGCUCAUAAACUGGAUGGCAAAAUAGAGUUUGCCCAUUUCAUAUCUAUGUUGUCUUAUUAGGAAAAAAGAUUUUGUUUAAUAGCUGAUGCUUAAUAUGUUUUAUCGACCGUUGAAUGCUCAACUUUAGCUCAUAAACUAGAUGGCAAAUGCUAAUUCUGAUGGGGCUUUUCGCACUUAUUGUUUUAUUGUUGUCUAGACAGCUGAUGGCAUGCUUCUUUCUUGCUAAUUGUCAAUUCUUUUGUACAGGGUCCCUCAGCUACUUAUGCUUUGGUAGACAAUAAGAGUAUGUAGAUAGCAUGUAUGGUUUUUACAUUGUUUUGCGUAGGUUGACAUGCAUCACAUGAUGUUUUCCUUUUACGUUUAUGAGUAUUACAUAGUCCUUUCUUUUUCCACAAGGGGCAGUAGUUGUGCCAUUCGAUUCGAAGGACAAAGAGUUGAUCACAAAGGCGUAGCAUUCAGGAUAUAUACACAAAAGAGUAUAGAACCAAAUUAUAUGAUGUAAUUGACCACUUUCUAUUAACUUCUCUUGUAUACAAUGUUCACGAGUUCAUGUAUUAAGUACAUUUUAUUGUGUCACUUGUGUUUACUCUUUUUUUAAUGCAAGUUUACAGCUACUCAGAGUUCCUAAUUGUAGACUCAACUAUCUUGACCUACUGAUGAUCUAAUUUGUGGCAUUAUUACCUUAAGAAAAUAUUUGCAUUUAAUUUUCUUUAUAUAUAGGGGUAUAAGUUCUGACCAAAUGUACUCAAAUAUACGGUUAUUGAAAAAAUGCAAACAUUUUCAACACGAACAUGGUUUUAAACGGGUCUUUGCGUCAUUUGGCGCAACUGGUCAUCUAGUUAUUACAAAUGGCAAGAUCUUCAUAGGGGAGAGGCCAACCUUUCCUGCUUGGUGUUGUAAAUUUGUACAUGACAUCUCUUCUUGCAGAUAGAGUUAAUGCUUACCAAAGCUCCUGGAUUGGAUUAGUAAUCUCCAUUAGAUAAAUAGGUAGGUAGGAAAGUGUUGAUUUUCCGUUCUUUUCUUGGUUCCCUUUGUAAGCAUUUUUUGCUUGCUUUUGUUUUGAUGGAAUAAAGGACUGUGGAGCUGUUGCUCCAUACUCCCUCCGUUCGGAAUUACUUGUCUUGGAAAUGGAUGUAUCUAGAACUAAAAUACGUCUAGAUACAUCCAUUUCUGCGACAAAUAAUUCCGAACGGAGGGAGUAAUAGUUACAAAAAUCUGAGAUUUUCUUGAUUUUUCACUAGUAUGAUUACACUCCUUCACAAGGAUCUUAUGCCAUGCAUGUUGGAGAUUUAUUUCAAUAGUUCCAUAAUAUGUUUUGAAUGCUGUUGCUAUCUAGUUCAGUUAGAUGCUUAUUAUCCAGACCAACAAAAAUUCUUUAGCAAGGGUCUCUACAAGAAUAUGUUUCAUCCUACUCUACUAGCAAAAACCGAUGGAGUUGCUCGUAGUGACAUGGAAAAGAAACCAUAAUCUUUUUGUAUUGAUAAGUAAAGAAACUGAAAUUUGCAACUGCAAAUCAGGGGAUCUUAAUGUCAAAUACUGAAUGCUUCCACAACUAGUUGUGAGACAUAUUCAUUGCAGUGCCAAAUAAAGAACCUUAUUCAUGAAUUAAUAACAGCAAGACAAUGGUCCGCGUGUUGUAUAUAAUAAAUAUCACACAGGUUUUGUAUAUGUGUAGCCGGUUCUAGAAUUUACAUAUGCAUGCUCGAGAACCUAUGUUCGUACAUACAUACACAGACCAUAUAGAAUGAAAAAUAUGCUCUGGUCGUCCAGCAGAGUCGUGGACAAAAGUGACGUUCACAAAAGACCUUCAUACAUAGGCCAUUGUUUCAACUCGUAGUUUAGGCCUUGCCAGACUCCUCGCAACCCGGUGGCCUGAAGGCGAUGAAGCUGACGCACUGCACCUGGCGCAGGUUGUCGAAGCCGAUGACGCGGACAUAGGCGUCAGGGUACUCCUUCUUGACCUCCUCCACCUCGUUGAGCACCUGUGUGGCGUCGGUGCACCCGAACAUAGGCAGCUUCCACAUUGUCCAGUAUCGACCGUCAUAGUAUCCGGGGGAGCUAUUGUGCUCACGGAAGACGAAACCAACCUUGCUGAACUCGAGGCAGGGCACCCACUUGGAGCGGAUCAAGUAGUCGACCUGCUUCAGGAGGGCCUCCGUGGAGAGGGGUGGCAGGUAAGACAGGGUCUCGAACUUCUUGAUGCCCUCAAUCGGCCACACCUGAAUGAAUAGAAUGCGCAGAUGCUCAAUACUUGGUGCUAAGUCAAUUAACUGUACCAACAAUGCUAGAAAAAUCUGUUGAUAAGCCAAAAAUUGCUCCUUAUGGGCAGGUCUCAUAUGCAUUGUUGGGUUGUCCAUAAUGAAGAAAGCUUAAGGGUAGCCCUUAAACUGAUGGGCACUCUGGAGGUACUAAGAUAAUUUUAUCUAGUCCAUGCUGUAAUAAAAAGUAUUUCCAUUCACUAAGUUAUGAGUUGAUUGCUUUUACACACGGAUCCCAGCUUAUGGACAAGGCUAAAUGAGCAUCCAAAGCCAAAUGGUUUCCAUAGGCAACAAAACAAAUAGAUAAUAAGGUUUCGGAAUAAUCUAUUGACCAAAUUAUGUUAUACAUUGGGGAUGUUCUGUAAGUGAAUUACUUGUAAUGACAAAGAAACUCAUAUCAGUUUAAUUAGUGACCGACAUACCUGCAUGCACCUGAUCCUUCCGCCGUUGCUGACGCUGCUGAGGCCGGCGCUGCUGGAGCGGCGGCUGAUGGGCAGGCCGGCGGUCGACUUGAGACCCUGGAAGGGUGCGACGGAGGUGGCCGAGGAAGCCAUCACAGUGGGGGCCAUGGUGUUGGAGGAGAGAAGGUGGCAGGCUACGCUUGAGGCCCCCAUUGCUGGGUCACCACGGUAUAUAUAGCCAUAUAUGGCCAGCUCCUAUCUUUAAUCAAGAUGUGGAAGGGGUGGCUGGCGUUCGUUGGUUGCCUGGUUUCCUUAUCUCUCCGGAUUAGUGCAAGAGGCAUGGCCGUUGGAUGAGUUGUGUGUGCUGCAAAUUUCAGUCGUCCAUGUCAUUGUGUGAUUGCCACAAACCCUUUUUUUCCAGCCUUGCAUGUACUGUAUUAUUCUUUUCAUUUCAUCUUGCUAAAGGUAACGCUUGAAAGGUGCACGAAGAACCUCCUUUGUUGAUUUGCGAUUUAAGUUCAGUGGCACAGGCAUAAGGAAUGUUAUAGUACAUCCUUUAUCCACUUCCAUAAUACAAACUUGUCAACCAAUUAUGCUUGCUUGUAAUCCUUGGUGCUUCAUUUUAUAAAAUUUUAUACAGGUAAUUAACAUAUAUUUGCUGCAUGUGUGAUGUGUGCCAUCAUGACCUUUGUUACGCAAUUCGUGGUCGGCUAUCACCAGCGUUCCGACUCACAUGCGUCAACCAGGCCCGACCAAAGAGCAACACCAACUUAUGAGAGGCCUUGGUCCCUCGCCCCCUCCCCAAAAAAAAGACUAGCCUGUUAGGAGGGGACACCCCGCCCUUAUAAAUCGUGUUAUGUCUCCUUCCACAACCGAUGUGGGACUAAACCCAACAAUCUCCCCCUCACACAUCGGUCAUCCAUGGGCCCUCUAACACCAGCAUUUCCAGCCCAGCAACCAUGACCGACUACCCAUGAGUUCACCGAGAUUUAUUCCGGGCACCUGGGCUCUAAUACCAAUUGUUANNNNNNNNNNNNNNNNNNNNNNNNNNNNNNNNNNNNNNNNNNNNNNNNNNNNNNNNNNNNNNNNNNNNNNNNNNNNNNNNNNNNNNNNNNNNNNNNNNNNNNNNNNNNNNNNNNNNNNNNNNNNNNNNNNNNNNNNNNNNNNNNNNNNNNNNNNNNNNNNNNNNNNNNNNNNNNNNNNNNNNNNNNNNNNNNNNNNNNNNNNNNNNNNNNNNNNNNNNNNNNNNNNNNNNNNNNNNNNNNNNNNNNNNNNNNNNNNNNNNNNNNNNNNNNNNNNNNNNNNNNNNNNNNNNNNNNNNNNNNNNNNNNNNNNNNNNNNNNNNNNNNNNNNNNNNNNNNNNNNNNNNNNNNNNNNNNNNNNNNNNNNNNNNNNNNNNNNNNNNNNNNNNNNNNNNNNNNNNNNNNNNNNNNNNNNNNNNNNNCAAAAAAAAGACUAGCCUGUUAGGAGGGGACACCCCCGCCCUUAUAAGUCGUGUUAUGUCUCCUCCCACAACCGAUGUGGGACUAAACCCAACAACCUUUAUGUCUUUUAUUCACAAUUAUUCAUUGGAACACCAAAGUGUUGUAUUAUUUUCUGCACAUAAUCAUUUACAUGCCUUGGAGGAUUUUUAGUAUUGGAAAUGCUAUUUAAUUAGGUGUCCAAGCAAGGUAUAACUUUGUUUUAAUCUAUGAGCUAAAGUUUUAGAUCCCUCUGUUAUCCAUCUACUCAGUUCAUGCCAUCCCCAGCGAACUCAUAAAUUACAUAUGGUGAGCCCAUCAUGAUUCAUCAUGAUUUUGUAACAUCAUUGAAUCUAGCCCACAAAAAAGGUAGAUGUAUGUUCAUUCAUUUCAUGAUGAUGAAGCAAGAUGCGAUCGACCGUGACCACUCAGUGAUUUGGCAAUCAUGUAGGAUGAAUAUCGUGAUCAUCUAGUCGUUCAAGAUAGAUGUCGUGAUCUUCUUGUGUGACUGUCUCAUAGAUUUGAGAUGCAAAUCGAAUCUUACAUUCUUUCAUUUCUUUUGCGAAUUUCCUGCAUGUAAGAUGAUAAAGCUGAGUUUGUAGUUAAUUAUUUUUUAUGAAUCCUUAAUGAUAAUUAACAUGGCCCAGAUAUUCACAAAAUAUCCAUAAUUAUCAUGAACGAAUCAAUAAAUUACUAUUGCAGAAUGAACCUUCCAUAGACCGCUCCACUUGGGCCUGUCGGUAGAGAGAUUCAUCACUCAUGGGCCGCAAAACGCCAGCCAAGUAGGAGGACCUUCACUAACGGGCCCUUAAGUUGGUCAUCAAUGGAGGGGCACCCAUGGGGCCCAAAGAUCCAACUGAAUGGAUGAUCCAUCUCUACUGACGGUCAUACCACACCACCCAUCAAUGUUGGGCGGCCCGUUAGUGCUAAAGUAAGGUAUUUCUAUCUACUGAAGAUGAAAUGGCCUUAUAUGCGCUUUCUCUUUCUCCUAAACAAAACCAUGCCAUCGCCCCCAAUCUAUUCCUCCCCAACGUCAUCACCACCUCAUCCAAUGUUUUCGUCUCCUUACAUGUGUGCCCCCUCCUUCUUCCACAUUGAUCUGGUCCAACGCUUGAAAGGAUCGAUAUGGUUGACUAGAGGGGGGGGGGGGUGAAUAGGCAACUACCAAUUUUUAACUUUUCUUUAUCAAAUUAAACUUUGCAUCAAAGUAGGUUGUCUAGAUGUGCAACUAGGUGAGCAACCAAUAUGAUGCAAUACCAACAAGCAAACAAGCAAGCAAGAGAAGUAACACUAAAGAGCUUGCACAAGUAAAGGUAAGAGAUAACCAAGAGUGGAUCCGGUGAAGACGAGGAUGUGUUACCGAAGUUCCUUCCCUUUGAUGGGAAGUAUGUCUCCGUUGGAGCGGUGUGGAGGCACGAUGCUCCCCAAGAAGCCACUAGGGCCACCGUAUUGUCCUCACGCCCUCACACAAUGCGAGAUGCUGUGAUUCCACUAUUGGUGUCCUUGAAGGCGGCGACCGAACCUUUACAAACAAGGUUGGGGCAAUCUCCACAACUUAAUCGGAGCCUCCCAACAAAACCACGAAGCUUCACCACAAUGGACUAUGGCUCCGUGCUGACCUCAAUCGUCUAGGGUGCUCAAACACCCAAAAGUAACAAGAUCCACUAGGGAUGAGUGGGGGAAUCGAAAAUCCCUUAGUGGAAGUGUAGAUCGGGGCCAUGUCAACCACUCCCGAGCAAAUCAACAAGUUUGAUUGGCUAGAGAGAUAGAUCGGGCGAAAAUGGAGCUUGGAGCAUUUAAUGGAGCUUAAGCAAUAAAUGAAGCUUGGGGGAGGAAGAGGUAGGUGGAAGAGAAGAAGGGGACUCCCUUUUAUAGUGGGGGCAACAAUCCAACCGUUGCCCCUCACCAACCAGCCCCGCACAGGGCGGUACUACCGCUGAGAGGGGGCGGUACUACCGCCAGUUCAGCGGUACUGCCGCGCCAGCCAGCGGCACUGCCGCGCAGAGGGGACUAGUAGGGAAUAGGACCCAAUGCGGUACUAUCGCGGUGGUAGGGCGGUACUACCGCUCCUGGAACGGUACUACCGCCUCUACAACUGCAACUAGUGCCGCAAAACCCGACACGAGAAAAAGACCCCUCGAGUCGAGGCGGUAGGAGCCACACAGCCCAGCGGUACUACGGCAGCAGGGUCACGGGCGGUACUAACGCCGUGGAGCGGUACUGCCGCUUGUGACCCUUCGGCCGUACUACCGCUGGUAGUGCAGUACUACCGCUGGGGCACAGAAGAGAGAGAGAAUCUCUCCAAAGAGGCUGAGGACGAGGCGGAGGUGCCAGGCACCCCAGCGGUACUACUGCUGUGGAGCCACGGGCGGUACUACCGCUGUAGAGCGGUACUGCCGCUUGUGGCUCCUCAGCGGUACUACCGCUGGGUUGCGCGGUACUACCGCUUGGACCCAGACAGGACAAGGAAGAGAGGAGAGAUCUCUACAAUGGAAUGGAAAAGCUCGGAGGGUGAGAAGCUGAUGUGUACGUGUUGAUUCCACUCAUGCAAUACCCCAGCGGACCCCCUCUUGAUAGUACGGUGCCCUCUAUGCAACUAGUCCACCGAGAAAGAAACGAAAGAGCUACACCGUCUUGAAAUACACUCCGAGGGGAAGAAAACGUCUCAUGCCAGGGAAGAAUCUGUGAAUUAUUCAAAGCACAAGAUUAGUCCGCAAACAUGUUGUCAUCAAUUACCAAAACUACCUUGAGAGAGAUAUGCCGUAACAAUCUCCCCCUUUUUGGUGGAUUGAUGACAACUAGGGAUUUGCGUAAGGAAAAGAAAUAAAAGAAGAAAACUCUGAUACAAAAUAUAGACGGGCUCCCCCAGAAUGUGUGCACCUAGAUAGUGGAGCAUUCGGAGCAAGACACACACAUUCGGAUUAACACUCCCCCUAUAUUUUAUAGUCUAACAAUACUAAGCACAAGAUAUAUGAGAGAAGAGAAUAAAACAGGACAAGCAUGCAUCUCAUAAUAAACUACAGUACUGAAUAGACAUAAGUAAUAAGGUAGCGAUAGGGAGCAUAUGUCUCACACCAUAUGUCUAGAACUUAGGUCUCACAGGCACCAAACCAAACCAAAUAAAGACACCGAGAGAACACACAAGAAACCACAAGACGACUCAAAGCACGGCAAUAACACAAAUCCCUACACUCUCUCCCCCUUUGGCAGCGAGACACCAAAAAGGGCAAAGAGUGAUGCUACGACUCCAGGUGAAGGGAAGAUGAAGAUCUCGAACAUCACAUCUCUGCAUCUUCAUCGUGGGUCGAAAACUGCUCGGCAUCGAAGUCGGUCCAAGGGCAAUGCUGAUGAACCCAUUCCUCCUCUUCAGUGAUCUGACCCUCAGACCCACUGGCAACUAUCGCUCCCAUCUAACGCAUGAGCUCCUUGUGGUGUGUCCUGGCAUGCUUCUUUGCCACAUGAGUCAUGUACUGACCAUGAGACUCCGUGCAGAAAAGCUUCUUCAUCUUGCGUUUAAGCUUCUGUGCCCACGACGGUUCUGUACUAGAGGGCCCAAAGUCCUCCUCAUGAUCAUCAGUAGCAGCCCCACCCUCGGUCCCCAUGGCAGCAGCAGCAGCAGCAGAAGGAUCCCCCAUGGCAGUAGCAGCAGACGGACCCCCUGUGUGAGGCGCUGGGGUUGAUACGGCGAGCUUGAUGCUCAGAAUGGUCAUCACCUGGAGCCAAACACAAGAACACGCAAAACAACCAGAAAGAACGAGCAUAAGCUAACAAACACAACAAAAAUAAUCAAGGUAAGGUAGGAAUUUGAUGGAAUUUGUCAUGCAGCGGUAGUACCGUGACAUGCCCACGGUAGUACCACCCAAGCGGUAGUACCGCCCCAAAGAGAGCGGUAGUACCGCUCGAGGUCAAGCGGUAGUACCGCUCCAACGAGAGCGGUAGUACUGCUCGAGGCGGAGAAACCGCAGUUACCUACAGCACAAGGCGGAGAAACAGCGGUUUCCUACUACCGUGGUCAGAUCCGGCACUAUCGGCCUGCCAAAUUCAAAAAUAUUCCUACCAAACUCUAAUCGAGAUAGUCUAGUUGCCUUCUCCAACCAACUCAAGCCUAGAUUUAGCCAAAAAUCUAGAGAUGCAACCACCAUUGCCCCUAAGAAACAAGAUCUGAAAACGAGACAAAAGGAAAGAAGGAACGGGGGCAAUACCGGCAUCCAUGGCAAGAGAACGGGGUGGGGAUCGACUCCACCAAAGGAAAUGGAGAGGGACACCCCGGAGAUGGAGAUCCGCCGGAGCCCUCCCGCAACGAGUGGAGGCUGGAGAGAGGAAGAGGAAAGAGGGGGCGAAGUGAAUGGGUAUGGGGGAGAAGAAACCUCCCCCUACCCCGAUAUAACCCCCUGGUCCCGUCCCUCAGCGGUAGUACCGUGCUGGGGGCGGUAGUACCGCUUAUGAGCGGUAGUACUACGCACCACCAGCGGUAGUACCACCCAGCACGCCACGGCAACCAAACAAACAAAGCUUUUGCUCGAAGGAAAGACAAAAACGGCAAGAAAAGAGCACACCAGCAAACGACCAAGACACACCUCUCAAAAGAGGGCGGUGGCCGAGGCCACCUAUGUUUGAGUCAAAAGGUAUGGCGCCGCGAAUAUUUUAACCUUGGGCCCAUGACCAAAACUUGUCUUUGAAGCACAAGUACCAUCAACAAUGGCUAAAGUGAAAGACUUGAUCAAUUUAUGCAUAAUGGGGGGAGGGAGAGUUCAUUGAGAGAACAACACUUCCCCUAUGUCCAUGCGUACACCUAAACUAGACAACAAAUUGAGCGUGGUGGGGUGUGCAAGGGUUCAAGCCACAUUGCUCGAAUCAAUGAUAUUUAGCUCAUGCCUUAACUCGCGAAAUCUUGCUUCAUCCAAGGGCUUCAUGAAAAUAUCUAAGAGGUUGUCAUGAGUGUUGACAUAGUUGAGCUCGAUCUCUCCUCGCCUAAUGUGAUCCCGGAUGAAGUGAUACUGAAUCUCAAUGUGCUUCGUCUUGAAGUGUUGCACCGGGUUGAGAGAGAUCUUGAUGGCACUUUCAUUGUCACACCAAAGAGGCACUUUGUCACAAGUGACACCGUAAUCCUUUAAAGUUUGCCUCAUCCAUAGGAGUUGUGCACAACAACUACCGGCGGCAACAUACUCCGCCUCGGUGGACGAGAGAGACACACAACUUUGCUUUUUGGAAGACCAACUUACCAAAGAGAAACCAAGGAAUUGGCACCCUCCGGAAGUGGACUUCCUAUCCACUUUGUCUCCCGCCCAAUCGGAAUCCGAGUACCCUACAAGCUUGAAGUUUGAUCCUCUUGGGUACCAUAAGCCAAAGUUUGGGGUAUGAGCCAAAUAUCGAAAGAUUCGUUUGACCGCCACAUAGUGACUUUCCUUAGGUGCGGCUUGAAACCGUGCAUAAAUUCCCACACUCAACAUGAUGUCCGGUCUAGAUGCACAAAGGUAAAGCAAGGAUCCAAUCAUGGAACGAUAUACCUUUUGAUCCACCACUUUACCAUUGGGAUCUAAGUCAAGUUGGCACUUGGUGGGCAUUGGAGUGGAAGCCGGCUUGACGUCACUUAGCUUGAAUCUCUUGAGCAUGUCUUGAGUGUAUUUGGAUUGAUUGAUGAAGGUUCCUUCUCUUCUUUGCUUCACUUCGAACCCUAGAAAGAACUUCAACUCUCCCAUGGAGGACAUCUCAAACUUUGAGGUCAUGAGAGCGGCAAAUUCCUCAUUGAAAGCUUUGUUAGGAGAACCAAAGAUAAUAUCAUCAACAUAUAAUUGGCACACAAACAACUCCCCUUUGACCUUCUUAGUAAAAAGAGUGGGGUCGAUUAGCCCAACUUCAAAACCACGGUCUUGUAACAACUCGGUAAGGUGGUCAUACCACGCACGUGGGGCUUGUUUAAGGCCAUAGAGUGCCUUAUUGAGUUGAUACACAUGAUCGGGAAAGUAGGGAUCCUCGAACCCGGGGGGUUGCUUGACGUAAACCAAUUCAUUAAUAGGACCAUUAAGAAAAGCACUCUUCACAUCCAUUUGUUGUAACUUAAAGUUAUGAUGAGAAGCAUAUGCAAUCAACAUGCGAAUGGAUUCAAGACGAGCAACGGGAGCAAAGGUUUCACCGUAGUCGAUACCCUCGACUUGGGAGUAGCCUUGUGCUACCAAACGAGCCUUGUUGCGAAUGAUAAUCCCAUGGGCAUCUUGCUUGUUCUUAAAUAUUCACUUGGUUCCUAUGACAUUGUGAUUCCCGGUUGGUCUUGGCACCAAUCUCCACACUUUGUUGCGCUCGAAGUUGUUGAGUUCUUCAUGCAUGGCAUUGAGCCAAUCCGGAUCUUCUAGCGCUUCAUAGACCUUGUGGGGUUCCACACAAGAGACAAACGUGUGAUGCUCACAAUAAUUUGCUAAUUGUCUACGAGUGCUUACCCCCUUUCUUAAGCUUCCAAGCACAUUCGUCAUGAGAUGAUCCUUGGUGGAGAGCUUGGAAGCAACCUUGGCAGCACGACGCUCUAAUUCCUCCUCGAGGGUAAGACGAGGAGUGGUCACUUGAUCAUCUUGAGCGUCGUCUUGGGCUUGUUCUUGUUCUUGAACUUGCUCGGAGGAGAGAACUUGACCUUGGGCAUCACUUGAUGUGUCAACACCGUCUUGAGCGUGAUCUUGCCCUUGGUCAUGUUCUUGAAGAUGAGGGCCUUCAUGUUGAACUUCGGAAGCGUGUGGGCCUUGGGUUGGUGGUGGCUCCACUUGAGUGGAGCUUUGUCCUUUUCCUUCGGCCAAAAGGGGUUCCUCAAUGGGUAGGAUAAAGCCAACACACAUUCUUCUUAUGGCUAGGGGAGGAAUUUCAUCACCUACAUCACAAGUGCCACUUUGCUCCACUUGGGAGCCGUUAUUCUCAUCAAACUCCACGUUACAUGUCUCCUCAAUAAGUCCCGUGGAUUUAUUAAGGACACGGCAAGCAUGAGAGUUUGUAGCAUAGCCAACAAAUAUCCCCUCAUAAGCUCUAGCCUCAAAUUUAGACAACCGAACACCUUUAUUGAGAAUGAAACACUUACACCCGAAUACCCGGAAGUACUUGAGGUUGGGCUUGUUACCGGUGAGUAUCUCGUAUGGAGUCUUGUUCAAGCCCUUGCGGAGGUAGAGCCGAUUGGAUGCAUGACACGCGGUGUUGAUGGCUUCGGCCCAAAAGUUGUACGGAGACUUGAACUCCGCCAUCAUGGUCCUUGCUGCAUCCAUCAACGUCCGGUUCUUCCUCUCUGCAACACCGUUUUGUUGAGGGGUGUAGGGUGCGGAAUAUUCAUGCUUGAUUCCCUCAUCACUAAGAAACUCAUCCAAGGUGUAGUUCUUGAACUCGGUGCCGUUGUCACUUCUUACUGUCAAGAUCUUUGCAUUGUGCUGACGUUGUGCUUCAUUUGCAAAGUCAAUGAUGGUUUGUUGGGUCUCGCUCUUCCUCUUGAAGAAAUACACCCACGUGUACCUUGAUAGUCAUCCACAAUCACCAAGCAAUACUUCCUACCUCCAAGACUAUCAAAGGAUGGAGGCCCAAAGAGAUCCAUGUGAAGGAUCUCCAAAGGCCUCUUCGAAUAAAUGAUAGUCGUGGGAGGGUGAGCCUUCUCAUGUAGCUUUCCUUCAAUACAGGCACUGCAAGCACGAUCUUUAGCAAAACUAACAUUCGUUAGUCCACGGACAUGGUCCCCCUUGAGAAGACUUUCCAAAGAUCUCAUAUUGACAUGGGCUAAACGGCGAUGCCAAAGCCAUCCCACAUCAACUUUAGCCAUUAGGCAUGUCGCGGUCUUAGUGGGUCGCUCCGAAAAGUUAAUCACAUAUAGACCGUUCUCGACAUGCCCAACAAAGGCUACUUUAAGAGUCUUGCUCCACAAGAGGGCCACGGUAUCGAUAUCAAAGAAAGUGGCAAAGCCCAUGAUUGCAAAUUGACGAACGGAAAGUAAAUUGUAUGCAAGGGACUCAACAAGCAUGACCUUCUCGAUCGUGAGAUCAUGAGAGAUGACCACCUUGCCAAGUCCCAAUACCUUAGAGGAUGAGGCGUCACCCCACUCGACAUUGGUGGGCAUAGAUGGAACCUUGUGCAUGUACACCACCAAGUCCUUGCUUCCGGUCAUAUGAUUUGUAGCUCCGCUAUCGAGCAACCAUGAUCCCCCACCGGAAGCAAACACCUACAAGAGAUCAUUGCUUGGCUUUAGGUACCCAUUUUGUAAUGGGUCCUUUGAUGUUAGUAACAAGGGUUUUUGGAACCCAAAUAGACCAUUCAAUGUAUUUAUGAGGAGAACCAACAAAUUUGGCAUAAACAUGCCCAUCACUAGCACGGCAUAACACAUAAGAAGGAUUAAAAUCGCUGGCUUUGUUGGGAGGGGUGACAUUGCCCUUCUUGACAUUGUUCUUCUUCUUCUCCUCGUAGGCACUCUCUCCCUCCUUCACAAAGGUUUGCAUGAGAGGAGGAGGUCGUUUGGUCUUGUCAUUCUUCUUCUUGUUCUUGGAGUCGGGCACGUACCCAACCCCUUCCUUGGCCACAACUCCCUUUUGGUUGAUCAAGAGAUCGUUGAGGUUCUUCUUGCCUUGUAUGCAAGUCGCAAGACCUCUCUCAAGUUACCCCUUUAGCUUAGCGUUCUCCUCAACGAGAUGCACAUGCUCACAACACGGGUUAGUAGCAUUUGCAUUAUCAAUUAACAUCAUACGAGGGAAAGUGGUUUUUUCCUUGGUUAGCUUUACUUGAAGUUGAUCAUGAGACUCUUUGAGGCUAGCAUGAGCACCCUUCAAGACCUUGUGAGCCUUGUCAAGUAUAUCAAACUCCUCUUUGAGUCUAGCAAGAACCUCAAGUUCGGCCUUUUCGGAGCUUAGCACAUAAGAAACUAUGAGGACAUGAUCAUAAUCUUUCUUUAACUUAGCAUGAUCAACGUUGUGUGACUCCUCAAGAGCCAAGCGAAGACCACGCUCUUCCUCAAGAGCAUUAGAAAGAUCCAAAAUCUCAUCGGCACAGUCACGACUAUGCCCUUCCAUCUUAGUGAUGGUGUCUUCGUGAGCCUCGAUCAUGUCAUUGGCUUCACCAAGUUGUUCCAAGAGAGCAACAAAGUGCUUCUUGGAUUUUCCCUUGAGUUUGCCCAUAAAGGCCUCAAACUCGUUAGCCUCCACAUUAGCUCCCUCAAGUUCAUUAAUGCUAUCCGUCGGAGAAGGAUGAUUAAUGAUGGUAGUUUUGAUAUUGGGGGUUACCUUGUUGGUGGCUUUAGCCAUGAGGCACUUGGAGGUGGUGCUCUCAUUGGAUGAGUCGAAGAGAGACACCCGUGAAGUCGUCGCAAUGGCAACGGAGGCCAUGGCAACCGACUCAUCAUCUUCAUCAUCAUCAUCAUCCUCAUUGUACUCUUCUUGUACAACCAAUGCCUUGGGAGGAGUCUUCUUGGUGAAGUUGUUCUUGUUGGGGAACGACUUGGCCUUGUCUUUUCGGAUGAGCUUGCCACCAUUGUCUUCCUUCUUCUCAUACGGGCAUUCCGCAACAAAAUGACUCACGUUGCUGCAAUUGUAGCAAGUCCUUACACGUUGCUUGCCCCUCGUGCCACUCGAGUUGUUUUUGCUAAAGUUUGGCCUCGAGUUUUUCUUGCUCCAAAAUUGCCUUGAAGCAAGUGUCAUGUGUUCAUGAUAUGCAUACUUCGUAUCUUCGGGGUUGCUCUCCUCUUCUUCCUCUUCUUCUUCUUCAACGGUGAGCUUGGCCUUCAAUGUAAGGUUAGGCUUCUUUGCCCGUUGAGAACGGAGCACCGCAUUGUCGGCGGUCUUGUCCAAAAUGUUCAUGGCCACAAACUCAUCCAACACUUCGCUUGAGGUCAAAGUGUGGAAGUCCGGUCUUUGACGAAUGACGGAGGACAUGGCCUUAUGGUAGGGCAUCAUUGCCUUGAGGAAUUUGCGCUUGAUCCAAUUGUCAUCCGUGUCCUUGCUCCCGUGAUCUCGUAGUGAGACCGCGAGUUUGGUUACUCUCCGAUAAAGCUCAUGAGGUUCUUCAUCUUCUUUCAUAGCAAACUCAUUGGCCUCAUCUUGCACCACUUCAAAGUUGGAGCGUUGAAUGCUUGCGCUUCCCCAGUAGAGAGAGACAACACAAUGCCAUGCAUCUUUGGCCAAGGCGAAGGGACAAAGAUGAGGUAGGUCUUCGGGUGGAAUUGCAUCUUGAAUGAUAAAGAGAGCAUUCUCAUUGAAUUGAUUAUCCGCGGCUUCUCGAGGAGUGAAGUUGCUUGGAUCAUGCGGAUAAAAACCUUCUUCAAUGAUUCUCCAAAGGUUAGUGUUCACAUGAUUUAAAUGACGUUUAAAGCAGUAAACCCAAGAAUCAAAGUCCUCAUUUUUCACAAUCUUAGGGGGAGGACCGGCAUGAUUCAAAUGAGUAGAAGGAAACGGUCCACCAUAAACAAGUGGUGGUUCCACAUGAGCAAAGAUGUCGGUGCCAUUUUUACCACUAGAAGAUGGAGCCUUUUCACUACUAGCUUCCCCCUUGUCAGGGAUAGCAUCCGUCACCUUGUUGGUGGGAUCACACACUUUCAACGGUGCGAUGGAAAGUUUAAGCCCCUCAAGAAAUUUAGUAAACAUGCUUUCAACCUCGGUCUUCAUGGAGGUCUUCAAUGUCUCUAAGGCCAUAUUGAAUUCCUCACGAGAGAUCGAGGUUCCCCCAUCGCCCGUGGACGAGAUCGGAUUCACACCGGAGUGUUCCUCCACACCGUCUACGGUAUCAACCAUACUCUUUGGACGGUAAAGUCCUUAAUAAAGAGACGAGGCUCUGAUACCAAUUGAAAGGAUCGAUAUGGUUGACUAGAGGGGGAGUGAAUAGGAAACUAGCAAUUUUUAACUUUUCUUUAUCAAAUUAAACUUUGCAUCAAAGUAGGUUGUCUAGAUGUGCAACUAGGUGAGCAACCUAUAUGAUGCAAUACCAACAAGCAAACAAGCAAGCAAGAGAAGUAACACUAAAGAGCUUGCACAAGUAAAGGUAAGAGAUAACCAAGAGUGGAUCCGGUGAAGACGAGGAUGUGUUACCGAAGUUCUUCCCUUUGAGGGGAAGUACGUCUCCGUUGGAGCGGUGUGGAGGCACGAUGCUCCCCAAGAAGCCACUAGGGCCACCGUAUUCUCCUCACGCCCUCACACAAUGCGAGAUGCCGUGAUUCCACUAUUGGUGCCCUUGAAGGCGGCGACCGAACCUUUACAAACAAGGUUGGGGCAAUCUCCACAACUUAAUCGGAGGCUCCCAACAAAACCACGAAGCUUCACCACAAUGGACUAUGGCUCUGUGGUGACCUCAACCGUCUAGGGUGCUCAAACACCCAAGAGUAACAAGAUCCGCUAGGGAUGAGUGGGGGAAUCAAAAAUCCCUUGGUGGAAGUGUAGAUCGGGGCCUUCUCAACCACUCCCGAGUAAAUCAACAAGUUUGAUUGGCUAGAGAGAUAGAUCGGGCGAAAAUGGAGCUUGGAGCAUUUAAUGGAGCUUGAGCAAUAAAUGGAGCUUGGGGGAGGAAGAGGUAGGUGGAAGAGAAGAAGGGGACUCCCUUUUAUAGUGGGGGCAACAAUCCAACCGUUGCCCCUCACCAACCAGCCCCGCACAGGGCGGUACUACCGCUGAGAGGGGGCGGUACUACCGCCAGUUCAGCGGUACUGCCGCGCCAGCCAGCGGCACUGCCACGCAAAGGAGACUAGUAGGGAAUAGGACCCAACGCGGUACUACCGCGGUGGUAGGGGCGGUACUACCGCUCCUGGAACGGUACUACCGCCUCUACAACCGCAACUAGUGCCGCAAAACCCGACACGAGAAAAAGACCCCUCGAGUCGAGGCGGUAGGAGCCACACAACCCAGUGGUACUACGGCAGCGGGGUCACGGGCGGUACUACCGCCGUGGAGCGGUACUGCCGCUUGUGACCCUUCGGCCGUACUACCGCUAGUAGUGCGGUACUACCGCUGGGGCACAGAAAAGAGAGAGAGAAUCUCUCCAAAGAGGUUGAGGACGAGGCGGAGGUGACAGGCACCCCAGCGGUACUACUGCUGUGGAGCCACGGGCCGUACUACCGCUGUAGAGCGGUACUGCCGCUUGUGGCUCCUCAGUGGUACUACCGCUGGGUUGCACGGUACUACCGCUUGGACCCAGACAGGACAAGGAAGAGAGGAGAGAUCUCUACAAUGGAAUGGAAAAGCUCGGAGGGUGAGAAGCUGAUGUGUACGUGUUGAUUCCACCCAUGCAAUACCCCAGCGGACCCCCUCUUGAUAGUACGGUGCCCUCUACGCAACUAGUCCACCGAGAAAGAAACGAAAGAGCUACACCGUCUUGAAAUACACUCCGAGCGGAAGAAAACGUCUCGUGCCAGGGGAGAAUCUGUGAAUUAUUCAAAGCACAAGAUUAGUCCGCAAACAUGUUGUCAUCAAUCACCAAAACUACCUUGAGAGAGAUAUGCCGUAACAAUGCUGCCGUCUCAUUCCCGCGAUCAUCGUCACUACUCUUCGAUUACUCGUGAUGGCGCGGGUUGUGGCUUCCCGCUUGCUCUCUCAUAAGAGUGGUUGGGUAAACCCCAAGUGUAAGGACAGAGUAACCUAGUAAUAAGCAUUUUCCUCGAUAGGUUUAUCGAACCAGUAGGAAUUUAUUUCACAACCCAAGUCCUCGGUACCUGCACACCAAACACAAAACAAUCUUGCCCCCAAUGUUUCAAGAAGGUUGUCAAGCUUCUUGUCCUGCUAGUUACAGGGAUUAGUUGUUAGUUGAAAGCAAAUAUCGGUUGCUAAGUAGCCUUAGUGCGGUUCGUACCUUCAAAUCUGGCAUGGCACUGUCAACACUAUACUUGCCAUGCUUAGGGUUCACCCUUUUUAUAUACAGUAAGAUUAGCCUAGGUGCUUCGUGUCGUACUGGCACUAAUCCAGCCAUCAAUAUAAACGAAAUGCCAUCCAUAAUUUCAAAGCUUAGUUGUUCAAGUACAAAUCUGAUAUGGUACUAAUAUUAGUUUAAAAUAGACAUAGGUAGUUGGUCAGCCAAUGUUCCUUCUUGAGUUUCAAAAUACAUGUACACCACUUAUAGAGAGACAUGAGUGAAUAUUAUUUUUUGUGUGAUCUCGUCCAUCAUGGAUGGGCAACGAACAUUGCAUUGUAUAGAAAGAAGGGUUAUAACCACCUUUUACAUAGAUGGUGAUUUGCCUACGUGCUUUGUGUCGCAAUAGCAACACUCCACCCUUCAAGCUAAACAACAUGUCACUCAUAAUUUCGGAGCUUAUUUGUUCAAAUACGAAUUUGAUCGAUACUGAUAUUAGUUAAACAGACACAUUUAAUUGUCAGCUGAUGUUCCUACUUCAGUUUUGAAAUGUUUGUCCGCCCCUUAUAGAGAGACAAGAGAGGUUUGUAUUUCUCUAUGCACUCUGGUCAUCAUGGUUGGGGGAUGAACUUUGUAUAUCAUAUAGUUUGAAACUAUCAUCUACCAAGAAUCAUCACUUCUGGAGAUCUCAACUGGGAGCCUUGUUUAAGUACUAGGGCCAUAUUAUAUUAAUGCACGCACCAAAUUACAACUCACAUAGCAUCUCUGGGCAGACUUCCAGAGAUAGUACGCAUGGGUUUAUAAGGAGGCACUAUUGGGGUAGAAUCCGCGAUGCAUUUGUGACACCCCGAUUCGGAGAACUGGAGGUCCCCGCGUUCCAGCCCAGAAAUCCAUUCUUCUGGAACACGACUAUAGCUUGGUACAGAAAGACCAAAAUAAAUAAGUACUUAUGUAGAUUAAGGGGACACGUCUAAGUGUCAGAAGCUCGACGACUUUAUUCUACGAGUGACUUAAGGAAGUACUAAAGACGAAAAUAAUACUAAUGACACAACGGAAGACGGGGUACCGGCGGGGCUCCAAUCCAAAGAGACACUGUUGGGACACCAUCUAGUCCAGGUACACGAACUCUUCGGGGAACUCUUCUAUCGGCUAUCUAGUAUCUAGCCUGAUAAGCCAUGUGAGUACUUUGAAUGUACUCGCAAGCUCAAAAACAAUCCAAAGCAAGCAUGAACAACGCAAAGAAACAUAGCAACGAAGUAAAGACUAGUAAAGCUACUACUAUCAAGACUACUUCAUAAACUUCUCGUCUGCUCGUUUAACGUCCACUAGACCUCUUCCUGGAACGAGUCCUGCUCAAACGACUCGUCAACAUAAGUUACCUGUUACCACAGUUAUUAGAGUUUAAAGUAAAGGAAUUUGGGUACUUGGUCAAAUAGUGUGACCUAACACAAAUGGUGUCCCAUUGUCGGAGACUCAGCUAUUCGAAUAGUUUCAACACACACUCUGCAAAGGUCACACACUUUAAUUUACGAACACCAUAGACUCUUUGUCUAACGAAUCUCAUUUAUAGCAUGGCACUCUAACUAUUCCUCUGACCUCCUACAGGCUAGCCCUGGGAGAGAGGAUCUGGGUCCUUGCCAUCCCAUGUGGCACCACUUGUAUUCCCUUGGGAAUAUUUUCUGUUGAGCUCAUCCACAGACCCAGACUAUCUUGACUAAAUGGCAACUUCCAAGCCAGAGGAAGCCUACACAUUCUAGCUUCCGUCUUCGGAGACACAUGAAACAUACAUAACUACAAACGGAAUAAGGCCCUCCCAUUCGGGAAGAUGUGGCUAUACUGAGGUUGUUCCGCUUCGUGGCACUUGGAUUGACCAGCUAUUUAAAGUUGGGUUAAGAAGGAAAGUAAAACCAUAACUUUGUACUAGCUACUGAAAUCCACAACUUGUUAUCUUACUAGGGUGAAGUAUUCAUGAGGAUUCAUCAUCCUAAGUAAAGGCUUUCCCCAAGAACCUUCAUGAACGUUGCUACCUAUUUAGCUUAUGAUUCAUGUUCGCAAAAUAAUUACCGGUUACGAGUCAUAGUUAAACUUCUAUUCCACUAGGACCAAAUAAAGGUAUCCUUUCUAGUGACUCACUAUGCUAUUUCAACCACAACAAACUUGACAUAAGCAAAGGGAAGCAACAAAUAACAAUGAAAGAAAAGUAAUGCGGGAAAAGAAAUGCAAGUUGAACCCAUGGCCUUGCAAUGCCAUCAAGUUGAACCUAUAGUGCUAUAGCCAUGGCUCACGCUCAUGUAUUGCAUGGAGCUGAAAAUGCUGAAGCGCCUUAGAAGUACGAUCCAUUUGCCUGGUUUGACACCGGGGUGCUCAUGAUUUAUAUUUAUGCAAUGAAGGCGGAGUCAUGACAUGCUAACAUGAUAAAAAUGAGUGGGGAUAACAUUCGUUAAGGAUCGUAUAUUUUGAAAAAGUAAUGAUUAUGUUUCUUAUAUUCAUGGAUAUUAUUAUGUUGAUAUUGUUACUUCAUUCUUUCUCAAUAACUAUACCAUAAAGAGAUUACAUGAUACACAUGUUAGGUAGCAUUACACAUCAAAAAUUCUGUUUUUAUCAUUUACCUAUUCGAGGAUGAGCAGGAAUUAAGCUUGAGGAUGUUGAUUCGUGUCCAACGUAUCUAUAAUUUUUUAUUGUUUCAUGCUAUUAUAUGAUCAAUAUUGGAUGCUUUAUAUGCAUUUUUAUACUAUUUUAUAUCUUUUUUGGACUAACCUAUUAUUUUGAAUUUUUUUGAAUUGUUUGUAUUGCUUACCACACGUGUCACGUGGUUUGGGACUAACCUAUUAACCCAAUGCCCAGUGCUAGUUCAUGUUUUUUUCUUGUUUUUUGCUCUUCAGAAAAUCAAUACCAAAUGAAGUCCAAACAUGAUGAAACUUUACAACAAUUUUUUCUGGACCAGAAGGGGCCCUAGAAGGUUUGGGAGGAGGCUAGAAGAUCUACGGAAGAGCCACGGNNNNNNNNNNNNNNNNNNNNNNNNNNNNNNNNNNNNNNNNNNNNNNNNNNNNNNNNNNNNNNNNNNNNNNNNNNNNNNNNNNNNNNNNNNNNNNNNNNNNNNNNNNNNNNNNNNNNNNNNNNNNNNNNNNNNNNNNNNNNNNNNNNNNNNNNNNNNNNNNNNNNNNNNNNNNNNNNNNNNNNNNNNNNNNNNNNNNNNNNNNNNNNNNNNNNNNNNNNNNNNNNNNNNNNNNNNNNNNNNNNNNNNNNNNNNNNNNNNNNNNNNNNNNNNNNNNNNNNNNNNNNNNNNNNNNNNNNNNNNNNNNNNNNNNNNNNNNNNNNNNNNNNNNNNNNNNNNNNNNNNNNNNNNNNNNNNNNNNNNNNNNNNNNNNNNNNNNNNNNNNNNNNNNNNNNNNNNNNNNNNNNNNNNNNNNNNNNNNNNNNNNNNNNNNNNNNNNNNNNNNNNNNNNNNNNNNNAAAACACAUUUUUUUGCAACCACAAGCUUCUGUUCUUCCAUGAACCCAUCUGGAGGCCUUUUUCGGUACUCUGCCGGAGGGGGAAUCGAUCACGGAGGGCUUCUACAUCAUCCUUGCUGCCUUCUGAUGAUGCAUGUGUAGUUCACAACAGAUCUAUGUGUCCAUAUCUAGUAGCUAGAUGGCUUCAUCUUUCUCUUUGAUCUUCAAUACAAUGUUCUCCUCGAAUUCUUAGAGUUAUAUCCUAUGUGAUCUUCUUUUGUGGUGUGUUUAUUGGGAUGCAAUGAAUUGUGUGUUUAUGAUCAAAUUAUUAAUUGAAAGUAAUUGGGUCUUUUCUGAACUUUAUUAUGCAUGAUUUUUAUAGCUUCCUAUUACCCUCCGAUCAAUUCAUUUCGUUUGGCCAACUAGAUUGACUUAUCUUUAGUAGGAGAGGUGCUUUGUAAUGGGUUCAAUGUUGCGGUGUCCUCACACGGUGACAGAAGGGGAAGCGAGGCACAUAUAGCAUUGUUGCCAUUAAGGAUAAAACGACGGGGUUUAAUCAUAUUUCUUGAGUUUACUUUGUCUACGUCAUGUCAUCUUGCUUAAGGCAUUCUCUGUUUGUUAUGAACUUAAUACGAUAGAUGCAUGCUGGAUAGCGGUUGAUUGGUGGAGUAAUAGUAGUAGAUGUAGGCAGGAGUCGAUCUACUUGUCAUGGACAUGAUGACUAUAUACAUGAUCAUUGCCAUGAAUACGUCAUAACUAUGUGUUUUUGUAUCAAUUGCCCAAUAGUAAUUUGUUUACCCACAAUAUGCUACGUGUUCGAGAGAGAAGCCUCUGGUGAAAACUAUGACCCCCGGAUCUACUUUUAUCAUAUUAUUAAAACCAAAAAUACCUUCAUACAAUUUUAUACUUUUUAUUUUACUUUUCUUUUUAUCUAUCUAUCACUAUCAGAAUUAAUCCUUGCAAAUAACGAGUUUAAGGGGAGUGACAAUACUCUUGCCGUGUUGGGUGCAAGUAUUUGCUUUUGUGUGUGUAGGUGCUAAAAAAGGGAAUUUGCGUGGUUCUCCUAUUGGUUUGAUAACCUUGGUUUUCACUGAAGAAAAUACUUAUCUCUAUUGUACUACUUCACCCAUCCUCUUCGAGGGAAAUCCCAAUGCAGUUUACAAGUAGCACUACUCCUCCUUCCUCCAUAGACACUUGGCGAAGCCCUGCCACAGCUCCACCACAAAAUCCACCACCACGCCAUUGUGUUGGCCUAGAUCUCGUCUACCGAUCCUGUUGCUUGCUGGAUGAAGAAGGAGACAUCACCGAGCCAUACAUGUGCAUAUCUCGGAGGUGUCGUUCGUGCGGUGCUGGAUCGGAUUGGAUCACGGAAAGUGUACGACUACGCCAACCACAUUCAUUAGAACGUUUCUGUUUUAGGUCUACAAGGGUUUGUAGACUUUUUCCCCUCGUUGCUAGCAUCUAGUUGAUUAGAUCUUUUUUUAGAAAAGGAGGAGGACCCCUGGCCUCUGCAUCUGGGUGAUGCAUACGACCACUUUAUUAAUUAUUCUCACAAGACCUUAUAAAGUCAUACAACAGUAAGACUAAAGCCACCGUCUAAGCAACAACUGUCGCUAGUCCUAUCCAAUUGAUGAAGAGGCGCUGAUAGCAUGAGCGUAAUACCAAACAGACAUCACAGUCAAACCUAAACAUCUAAGAACUAAGGUCCCAACCAGGACGCCUGCCGGGUAUGGGGCAUCUACCAGUCCGGCGCACUCCUCAACCAGGACGCCUGCCGGGUAUGAGGCCGCCGCAGUCACCUGCCACUAAUCCAUCUUCAGUGUUGUACUGAUGCAUCCACCUUACUCGGUAUAGCUGCCAUCGACGCUACCACGACGCCAGACAACGUCACCCUCCUGCGCGAGUCCAUCAUCGCACAUCAGACUCCUAAUCUCCAGGGCGCCAUGCCAGCGAGAUCUGUCACCAUCCAUGUGUAUGAUGAACCACCGCUCCACCAAAAGACGUCGUCCACUGGUCCCUCGAGCCUGCGUACACCUCCAAGAAAGAUGCCCCCAAGGGGGAAACGACACAAUCGCGCCGCCGUCUUCUGAUCUAUCGAUCUAGGGUUUUCCCCGGAGGUAGCAGAUAGUAGUCUAGAACUUCUCCGCUGCGAUGCCUUCAAGAUGGGAACGAUGUCGUAGAGCGACGUCACCGCCGGCUUUGGCAUCUAGGAAAGAGCAGGUUUUCACCCAGAUCUGUUGGAAGAACUCCAUCCAGCUUCUUGUGCACGGACCGCCGCCUUCUCUGUCGGAGACUAGAUCAAAAGGAUCUAGCCGCCGCCAGAUCCAUGCAGCCAGCACCGGGAGAUGACGACAGUCUCCCUGUACCAGAGCUAGCACGAACCGGAGCAUAUCGAGUCGGAGACGAUGAUACUCCUGGAUCUCCGGCAGACCAGCGAACCGCCGGCACCACCGUGUCCAGAUCGCCGGCCACGCCGGGCCGCCGCCACCCCCGCGCCGUCCGGUAGUCACCAGAUCCGGGAUGAGCUGGAACCGGUUGGACCAACGGGCGCACCGCCACCCAGCCAUGGGGUCGCCGCCCCGGCCACCGCCGCCCCCUGUGCAUCCGGCCGAUUCCCACCGGCACCACCACAGCCGCCGCCGCUGGGACGCCACGCCGCCGUGGGCUGAAGUGGGGGCCGCACCUCCGCGGAUCUGGGCGCCCACGCCACCCAUGGAUCCGGGGGAGAGGGGAGAGGCCCUCCUCCAUCGUGUCGCACGCACGGGCUUUGCCCGGCGCCGACUACCUGCGGCGGCGGAGGGGAGGUCGGGAUGUGGGGAGGGUCACUGCGGGCGGAGGUUGGCCUUCCGUGUUGCCCGCGAGGGGGGCGACGCGAGAGGGUAGAUAGAUUGAUUGAUUGAUUGAUUGAUCAGUUGAUUAGAUCUUGGAUGUUUUCAUUGUCUCGUAGGAAAAUAAAUUAUUUUUCAUGCAACGAUUCCCAUCACCGACCUGCUUCAAAAGAAGCAUGUAGGAGCUCAGGCGGCCCGGGCUCAGCAAGUUGCCGGACGGGAGGUCCCUAAGAGGUGCAUCCAAGAAUGCAACAACCUCCGAGUAGAGAAGGCGUCCCUAACCGAGAGAACGAGACAACAAGAGCUGGAGCUGGUGGAAGUUAAGAGGUUGUUUGAUUUUAGGCCUAACCAUGCCACACUUUGCCAUACAAUGUUGUCACAUUUGUAUAAGGUUAGUUCUUCAAAAUGAGAGCCACAAGUUGACAAGUCUAAGAAAAUCUUUCCACACUUUUUGAGUGUAUGUGAUGUGGGGCCCUAGUGUGGCUUGUUUAAGGUGUGGCUUGAAUCAAACAUUCACCUAAGUUGGUCAAACUUGUCUAACCUUAAAUGUGGCAACCUUAAGCAAACUUAAUCGCAAACCAAACAGCCCCUAAGUCUGGCCUGGCCGAUGCCGAGAGCGAUGCGGCAGGCCCUUGAGAUCAUAGUCAGUGAGUUUUUCCGUGCUUCAACUCAUAAUCUAGGUGGAAAUUUUAUUUGCCGAUCUGACAUAGAAAUUCAUUACUUCCGGCAUCUUUUUCCGACCUGCCAGUCAGUGCUGCUGGAGCGUCCCUUAGGAAGAAACCGCAGCAGCUUGGAGAGUUGAACAAGAUCGCAAGGCGGGAAAUGCAGGGUAUUUUCAAGGCCCUAUGGCCUGGAGAAAGGUUGUCGGAAAACCAGUUUGACCUCUCCCGCCGCCUCCAGGAGGGGCAUGCUCGGAUUGCCCUGUGAAAGGCGUCAGUGGCCUGAGGAGAUGCUCGUCAAGCUUGGGCCAUGUUCCAGACCCACUAUCCGGGCUUGAACAUCUGCCCUAUUGCCCUAGUUGGUCCAAAAGGACCUGACGGUAAGGAGAUUAUGCCUAAUGGCAAUUUCCAACGGGUCAUUCCCUAUGCUAGGAUGUCCGAGCAGGUUUGUCGUUUGGAAAAUAUUAUUGAAUAGGCUAGGAUCGGUUACCCUGGAAUGUCAAGGACGAAAAGUUGUAUAGAAACCUCUCGAAUUUUGCUUCAGCCAUGUUUAUUUUUCUCUAUACCAACAACAUGAUAGGUUUGCUUCGACCUGUUUAGCGUAUGCUUGCAUUAACCGGCCUUUGGCUUCAGCCUCCGCAACCAAACGGGAAGGCCUUAUAAUUGAUGUUAACGCAAGGAGUAGGAAUCGUCCUGCAACUAGGAUGCAAACAUAUCUAUGAAUAUAUGAAAUCUCUCCCAAGGAUUAAGUGGGGGUGUGUCCGACUUGUUGGCUCAUGAAGACCUCGAGCAUUUGAGAAAGCUCAUCAUCGGGAUAUACAGGGAAAGUUUUGCAAUACAAAGUAUAAAACACGAUAAAUUCCCCAUCCUAGUAUAAAACAUGAAGCUCAUGGAACUCUAAUUAGAUGCUAAUUAUCCAGACCAACAAAAGUUCUUUAGUAAGGGUCUCUGACAAGAAUAUGUUUCAUCGAAAGUGUCCUCAGAUCGAGCUCAUAUGAGCUCGAGUGAACAGUAAAAUCUGAAAAAAAAAUUGAAACGAAAUUACAAAAAAAAUUGCAAUUUUUUGGUGACAAAUGUUUUCAAUGCUUGCAAAGUUUCAUCAUUUAAUGACAUUUGUGAAAGUCGUGGCCCAAAAAACAAAAUUGAUACUUCAAAAAAGUUAUUUUCAAAGUGCUGAAUUUGUUUUUUGCCAUGACAUCCACGAAUGUCGUUCUAUGAUGAAACUUUGCAAGCAUUUAUAACAUUUGUCAAAUUUUGCCACAAAAAACAGAAAAUUUUGAAUUCUUUCUAAGUAUUUUCAGAUUUUAUUGUUCACCCGAGCUCAUAUGAGCUCGAGCUCAGUUAAUCUGUGUCCAUGCUUCAUCCUAUUCUACUAGCAAAAACCAAUGGAGCAGAUGGUAAUGACGUGGAAAAGAAACAAUAAGACUUUUGUAGUGAUAUAAGUAAAGAAACUGAAAUUUGCAAUUGCAAAUCAGGGAAUCUUAAUGUCAAAUACUGAAUUCUCCACCCACUAGCUGUGAGGCAUAUCCAUUGCAGUGCCAAAUAAAGAAACUUUUCCUUUUUUGCGGGAAAAAAGAAUUAAUAACAGCAAGACAAUGGUCCGCGUGUUGUAUAUAACAAAUAUUACACAGGUUUUGCAUAUGGAUAGCCGGUGUAUAUAGACCUAUGAGGAAUUAUGUAUGCAUGCUCGAGAACAUAGGUUCCUACAUACAUACACAAAUCAUAUAGAACAAAAGGUAUGCUCCGGUCGGAAAGCAGAGUCGUGCAACAGAGGUCGUGGACAAAAGUGAAAUUCACAAAAGAUCUUCAUAUGAGAUAGGCCAUUGUUUCAACUCAUAGUUUAGGCCUUGCCGGACUCCUCGCAACCCGGUGGCCUGAAGGCGAUGAAGCUGACGCACUGCACCUGGCGCAGGUUGUCGAAGCCGAUGACGCGGACAUAGGCGUCAGGGUACUCCUUCUUGACCUCCUCCACCUCGUUGAGCACCUGUGUGGCGUCGGUGCACCCGAACAUAGGCAGCUUCCACAUUGUCCAGUAUCGACCGUCGUAGUACCCGGGGGAGCUGUUGUGCUCACGGAAGACGAAGCCAACCUUGCUGAACUCGAGGCAGGGCACCCACUUGGAGCGGAUCAGGUAGUCGACCUGCUUCAGGAGGGCUUCCGUGGAGAGGGGUGGCAAGUAAGACAGGGUCUCGAACUUCUUGAUGCCCUCAAUUGGCCACACCUGAAUGAAUAGAAUGCGAACAGAUGCUCAAUACUUGGUGAUGAGUCAAUUAAUUGUACUAACAAUGCUAGAAAAAAUCAGUCGACAAGCCAAAAAUUGCUCCUUAUGGGCAGCUCUCAUAUGCAUUGCUGGGUUGUUCACAAUCAAUAAAGCUUUGGUUAUACUUAGUUCUAGUAUAUGGGUCCUAUUUCGAGGAUGGGUUUGGUUAUAUACAUUGGGGAUGUUCUGUAAGUGAAUUACUUGCACUGACAAAGAAACUCGUAUCAGUUUAAUUAGUGCCCCAACAUACCUGCAUGCACCUGAUCCUUCCGCCGUUGCUGACGCUGCCGAGGCUGCCGCUGGAGCGGCGGCUGACGGGCAGGCCGGCUGUGGACUUGAGCCCCUGGAAGGGUGCGACGGUGGUAGCCGACGAAGCCAUCACGGCGGGGGCCAUGGUAUUUGUAUUAUCGGAGGAGAGGAGGAUGCCGGCUACAGUUGAGGACCCCAUUGCCGGGUCACCACGGUAUAUAUAGCCCCGUUUCUUUGGUACAGAUGUGGUUGGGAUGGCUCACGUUCGCUGGUUGCCUCGUUUCCUUAUCUUCUCCGGAUCAGUGGAAGAAGCAUUGCCGUCGGAUACAUUGUGUGUGCUGGAAAUUUCAGUCCUUCAUGUCAUUAGGUGGCUGCCACACAACCUUUUUCUAGCUUUGCUUGUUUUUGGGUGAGUUCCUUGAUAACAAAUUGUCCGAGGAUGCGACUGAGUUGGCUGGGCAAAAUAUUUCAUUUUAUCAUAAAAUUUGCUGGCUCACUCUUGAAAGUAUGCUCAUAGGCAUAUAGUGUGCGGGUGUGCAAUCAUAGAGGGUGGUGUACAUACGUGUAUGUGAAUGUCUACAUUUAUACAAUGUUUGUCAAAAUAAAAUAUAUGUUUUCUUGGUAGAAUUAACUGAACUAGCAUAGUAAAAUAUAUGUUUCCCCCCUCCAUAUCCGUCGAUGUGCCUAUGGAUUCGCCUCCCCUUGGAGGGAAGGAAAUUCUCUGUAAAGAAGUAGUGAUCUAAACACUCUUAUAUUUAUUUACGGAGGGAAUAGGAUUUUAGUUCUCGUAGGAGUGGCGCUUGGACAGAUGGCGGCCCUUCUUUUUUGAGUCAAUCUUCCGGGAUCCGGUCGUCUUCAAGUUCCUCUGUCUAGACGGAUUAGAUGGAGGUCCGACGUAGAUUCCUUCCCGCUCCUCGGGCAUAUGCAAAACGAGAUUUGGUGUCAGGUUCUUUAGACCGAUUCAGGGAUUCGACGACUAUGACUACGGCUCCAGAGCGUUCAUUCUUAGGGGCGUGUGCAUGAAGACUUCCUCGCUGCCAUCGACAAGGUCUGGCUAGAUCUAGUGUGGAAGCAAAGACAACGGCUCGUUUUGACGGAGGCAAUGGUCGUUCGGUGUCGUUCGAUGGUCCAUAGACCUAGAUGCACUUUUUACUAUGUUUGAGGUGCUUUCUACUUUCGGUGAAUCUUUUCUUUUAGGGCAAGUGCUCUGCCUUUUCAUUGAUGUUUAGGAAGGUAUAGCGGAGGGCUAAAGUGCCAAAGGAAAGAAGAAAAACAUGAGAAAACCAGAAAAGAGAUCCAGUUGCACAAAACACUGAUGUACAAAGCGCUAGCCUAAGGCGCGACUUUCGGUGUAUCUUUAUAUUAGAUUUUAUUCUUUACGCAAAAAAAAGGAAAUUGAACUAGGAGGUAAAAGCACUAGAGGUCCUAGAACUUGUCUAACAUGUGAUGGUUUAGUCCUAAAACUUGCAAAAGUGAACUAUGUAAUCCUAUAACUUGUACACAACGUGCAAAUUUAGUCCAAAGCUGCGGCCAAGUGGCGCCAGCUGGCCUGUUCAGGUCGUUGUGUUCCAUUUUGCAUAUACCCCCUUUUUGUCAAAUUAACCCGCAAGUACUAGUAAAACACGGGGCUAGCUGCAGCAGUAGGGCUAGCUAGUGCGGCUUUGAGAAUUGAGAUUGGUUCAUCAUGUCAAACUGCAAUCUCCCUUCCAAUCAUCAAACACAUUAAGAUACGCAGGUUGGGCGCUUCCUAGGCUAUGCCACGUCAGAUAGCUGGAAGACAAAACAGAUCGCUGCAAAAAAAAGGAUUGCUGGGAGAAAAAAUGAUGGUCGGUUGGGCAGCCGCCAGAUAACACAUGCCUCUCGAUCUGCUUUUCCUUUCUCACUAAGCAAUCUCCAAUUCCACACGCAACCUCGUUGUCGCAUCGCUCUCCUCAACGACUGCUACGCGUCCAUGCGCCGCCACCGCCGCCACUUCUCCCGCGCCUUCUCCUCCCAGUUCCUCUCUGCCCUGCGGCGCCUCCUUGACCACCUAUCUCCUCCUCUGGGGGCACUACUUUCAGUUUACCAUUCCAAUUGGAUGGUCCACAACAUUGAUCCAUAUUUUGUAGGAACACUUAUAUUGUUGAAUUGAACUUGAUAUCAAAGUGUUUAGUUUAUAAAUAAUUUCUAUAAGUGAUACAUCUUUCAGUGUAAAUACAUUUUUUUCUCAAGAUUACUUGGGGAAAAAAUAGCAGACAUCAAAUGAAAUGUAUAAUUUUUUCAUCUGAAAAUCAGAUGAAAGCCACGGAAAGACCCCAAAACAUCAUAUUAAGAUCACCAUUGACUGUCCAAAUCUAAGUCCACCGCAUUCGUUAUAAAGAAAUUCUUUUCCAUGAAACUAAACCACGCCAACACUAAAAUUCAUGAACGAAAGUCAUCCAUAAUAUUAUGUUUCAUUAUAUGAGACGCUAGUUAUUUCGUCAUUUAAAGUGAUGAUAUGGCUCCACCGUGGUAUUAGAUGUGGCCUUUCCUAUGACGAUGUGGUAUCAUCAUUUUUUUUCUAAUCUAACAAAAAGUCUUACAUAUUGGUCUCACAAUCCGAAAACUCUCCUUUGCACGCACGCGUUGGGACGGGUGAAGCGCUCCGCACAAGAAGUCAGGUUCCGACCGUGCGCUAUAUUCUUUUCCAAACUUUGGCAUGUCGUUUAACUGAGAAUGGUGGCCCCACAUAGUAUCGCAGCCCACUGUCAUGGAACUAAAUGUGUUGGGCUCACCCCACAUGUUACAUGCAUUCACGGAAGGGCUAGUUGUGGUGCCAUCUUGGUUUUCACUUCAGUGUGAUUUCUUUGAUUUCACUGAAUUUUAGUAAUUUCAGUAGACACAGAAAUAUUUACCUUUGAAUCAGAAUAUUUCAGUCAUUUCAGUUGUACACAUGAAUUCAAAUACUUUUCAAAAUAUCUUUAAAUAUUUUUUUGAAUUUCAAGUGAAUAUUUUGGUCUUUUGGCCAAAAUGCAAGCUGAAAUUACUGAAAUUCAGUAACUUUGAUAGGUACUGAAACAACAGUAGUGUUUUUGCCUGAAUAUGAAUUCUGUCAUGAAACAUAUAGGGUUUUGACCUCCGAUGUAGGUUCUAUAACAAAAUCAAUAGUUUCGUCAUGGAAGGACCUAUGUUUAUGACAAAAACACAAAACAUCACAGAUAAUUCAUCAUAGAAGGCCAAAACUUUACUAGUAGAAGAUAUCUUGGGACUCGUCAAUUGGAUAUGUAAUUUGCACAUAUUUGUCUCGUCCACACGUUCUCUGGUUUAUUGGAAUUGUUGCAAUACUGUAAAAAAAUAGUAUCUAAUUGUGGUGUAAAAUGGUUAGAAAAAGUGACACGUCUUUGAAGAAUCGAUGAUGGAAUAUGCCUCACAAGACAAGUGCACUAUGGUAGUUUGUCCUUGUCUUGUUUUGACACCUGUUGUUUGUCCUUUUUCUAGUUUUUAAAUUUUAGUUUUUGGCUUUUUAUUAUUAUAUGGUUCUCAUCAAUGUCCUACUGUUUUGCCACUAGUUUUCAAUGGGGUCUCACCAUCUCUUUAUGUGUUUCCCACAACAAUUUUUUGAAGUACUUUGGUAUUCCAUAAGAAUUUUCGCAUUAGAUAAUACACAGCAUAUGAUUGAGCAAAAAAUGUAAGAGAACAAAACAUUGCAAGGCAUAGGCAUUCGCAUUUCCAGUUGCAAACAAAGUUUCCUUUCCAUCAAUUGAUGGCAAGACAAUAAUCUGCGGAUUGCAUAUAAUAUAUAUGUGUAUGUGUAGCCGGUGCUAUAAUUCUGACAUGCAUCCUCCUCGACCUACGUUGGUAGGUGCUUACAUAUGCUCAUAUAUUCACAUAUGAGUAGAACCAGAAAUAAAACCGAGAAAACAGAGCUGCUGACAAAUGUUAACUAACAUGGCAUGUAUCACUACAAGAAAUAUGUUGAUCCAUGACGGAUUUCGCAUGACGUUUUUGAAAUCUGUCAUGAAUGGCCCGGUAUAGCCCCGCAAGCCCGCUAAAGCCCGCCAAAGCCCGCCUAACCAUUCACGUAUAAAACCCAAACCCUAAGUGUCUCUCCUCUCUCUGUCUCUCCCUUCGUCGCAACCCCCCUCCCGAUUCCCCAUCUCCUCACACACAUCGCCGCCACCCACCACCACAUCGCCUCCUCCCACUGCUCGUCGCCAGCCCUUCCCUUCCUCUCACCUCGCUGCUACGGCGGCUGCUAGAUCCGCCGCAACCCCCACCAAUCCAUCUCUCGUGCGACCCAUCUCUCCCUCUCCCGCGAAUCAUCGCGCCGCCACCAAGAUCCGCCGAUUCCGGCGAUGUCCGCCACCGUGCUGCACACUCACGAGCUCAUCUCCGACCCCUCCGCCCUCCAGCCCGGCUGGAUCCGCCGCUCCCAGCCCCCUGCACUCGCACUCAACCCCUAGCCAAUGUCUAGGGUUUCAGCUACGGCGGCGCGUCUGUCACUGGCGCGUCUCCAACAGCACCACUUCGUCGUGCAACGCGCCCCCUCGCGCCUCUCCGCCUCCCCCUAGCUCAGUGUGCUCGCCUGUGUUGGGCUGGACGGCGGUGACCCCGACCCCCUCUUCCGCGUCUCCGGCGCAGCGGCGCGUCCCAUGGCAACCUCCUCUGUCACGCGAGACGGCGUCUGACCUGCACUGCGACCAUUGCAUUGCUUACAAAGGUCUCCAGUGAGCACUGCGACCUCUACCUCCCUCUUCUCCUUGAUUCAGCUUGAUUUUGUAUCUUUCCUCUCAAGAAUUGAUGAUUUAAUAUUUACAAACAUUAAUCCCUCUGUUAUAGAAUUUAUAGUCUAGUAGCAAGUUAGGCUCAUAGUCAGUAAACUGUUUGUUGCUUCCCUGAUUUGAUUAAAAUGACUGUUGCAAUCAGGUGGUUGUAGUUUUAUUUGAGUGUACUUUUUUAGCUGUAUUCUGUGAAAGUAAACUCCAGAGUGCAAAAUUGUAUUUGUUGUGCAUUUUUGUAUCUUUUCAGAACAAAAAGAGAUGAAUUGAACCUCUUCUAGCUCCUAAUAAAAGGCAAUGUGCAAAACUGUAUGUUCUGUACAUUUUUGUAUCUUUCCAGAACAAAAAGAUAUGGAGAAUUGAACCUCUUCUUACUGCCUAAUAAAAGGGAGUGUAUUACUAGUUCAAUCACUUCCAGAAUGCUUGUUGAUAUAUCAGGAAAAGCGAGUUAUCCACUUUAUGAAUUACUGGAUGUUGCUUUACAUUCUACAGUAGCCUCCUUUUUGUCUUUCUGUAUUGUGGAAUCAGUGUUCCUUGUCUGACAUAUUUCUCUACUAAUGUAAAGUGUAUAUAUUAAUGCAGUAUUAUUAUGCUUGUUAUGAUAUCUUAAGCACUGUUCCUGGCUCAGGUCUCCACUUGAUCAGUGACGAAGGUUGAUGAUUACAACUGAACGACUGAAUCAGUCCACUGGUAGAAUUAAAUAUAGUUGAAGAACUAUGCUGCAGAGAAAAGAACUUGGUGUGUCAAUUCUUUAGGACCCCACACUACAAUACAUAGUCAAUCAUAACUACUUUAUAAUAGUUUAGAUAUACUUCCUUGAAAUGUUAUGUGAACCAUCGUUGGCUGUGUAACUUUGAAAGUGUCUCCACCUUGAACAUUUCAUUUAUUCUUAUUUUCUCUACCAUUAAUAGGUAUUAUUUAUAAUAUGCUUCCUCAAUUCCGAAAUAAUUGAAUUUGAUCAAGUUUAUAAGUAAAAAAGAGCUCACUUGGCUGUUCUUGACACGUAGAUAGGUGUAUUUGUUUACAUAAGAAAAAUGACACCAAGUUAGUUCAUGAUCAUGGUUUAGAAAAAAAAAGGUGUGCACUAUGGUAAAAAGAAGUACAGUUUUGUUGCAAGUAGUUUUCCAAAAACGAUAACUUAUCUUGUUCCCCUAUCCCUUUAUUAUUUGUCAACACCCCUGUGAUCUUUGAGAUGAUAAUUUUUCAAAGGUACCUACAGUUACACAGCAAGGUGGAGCUCCUCAGCGCUUUGGCAUGGGUAAGCUCCUAUGCCCUUCAGGAUGAUUUGAACUAUUUGGCACUAGAUUACUCAUGAUUAGUCGUCGAUGUUGUGUUGCUGCAAUGAAACAAUAUUGUUGAUUAAUGAAAGACAAGCAAUCCUGGCAUAACUCUUAAGUAUAUAGGCCUCAUGAGUGAGGUUCAAACCACGUGAAAUAAAAAUGAUGGUUCAGAUGAUAAUAACUACUAUUUAUGUUGUUGUAAUCAACUUGCCAUUUUGUAACAGAAGCAUAUUGUCUGUUACAGGUUUACUUGGUGGUCAGAGCCAAAAAGGAAGUUCGAGGUGUAGGCAUGAACUUGAUGAUUAAGAGGGUCUGUACAAUCUUGUAUAUUUGUUGAUGUAAUCUGGUGUAAUUAUUACUAAGGGUCUGUUAUCUGAUGUUGGAUGUUUUAUUGGCCACGUUUUAAAAGGGCUUUACUCAUUGAAAUAAUUGAAUAGAAAUUUGUGAAAUGCUUUAAAUUAUAGGCAUGUUCAAUAGAAUUAAUUGUGUUGUGAAAGCUUGUUUGAUUAUGUGUAAUGGGUGGCGCUGUAACUGGUUGGAUGGAAAUCAUGCCAGACUAAAAUAAAUGGUCUAAACUACCACAACAAAAAAAGUGGAUGCCACGUCACAUUCACGCUGGUGCCAUGUAGAUGCCACGUCAAGCCCAUUUUUGUAUAGCGUCUCCAAAUCCAUGACGGACUAGUCUGUCAUAGAGGACCGGGCCUGGGCGGGCCUAGGGACUGAUCGGUGACGGCCAGGAUCAGUCAUGGUGGUACAGUUGUCAAAUUAUGACGCGAUAUACAUGACGGAUUAUAAAUCCGUCACGGACAACCCUCCUUGACGGUUUUGCACUGUUCCAUGACAGACUGUAUCCGUCAUGGAUUAACAAGAUUCUUGUAGUGUAUAUCGGACUUGCACUUUAGGCCUUGCCGGAUUCCUCGCAGCCUGGUGGCCUGAAGGCAAUGAAGCUGACGCACUGCACCUGGCGCAUGUUGUCGAAACCAAUGACGCGGACAUAGGCGUCAGGGUACUCCUUCUUGACCUCCUCCACCUCGUUGAGCACCUGCGUGGCGUCAGUGCACCCGAACAUAGGAAGCUUCCACAUUGUCCAGUAUCGACCGUCGUAGUACCCUGGGGAGCUGUUGUGCUCACGGAAGACGAAGCCAACCUUGCUGAACUCAAGGC
rnacentral:lncRNA from 1 species